rnacentral:lncRNA from 1 species
CUGUCGAUGCGGUCCUUGAGCUUGAGCAGGAAUCGCUCGUUGUCCUCGUCGGCGACGCGGACGAGGCGCUCCAGCAGCGCCCGCCUCUCGCGCGGACCGAGGCUGAGCACGUCGACGUCCACGAGCCCCUUCCCGCCGGCCGCCUCGUCGCCGUCGAGCGGGACGAUGGCGCGUCGGACGCGGUCGUAGGUGGGCAGCUUCUCCAGCGCGGCCCAGCGGAGCGCCUCCUCGUCGUCCUCCUCCCUGGACGACCGCGAGAACACGUCGUCGCCGCGCCGCCACACGGAGCCGCUGCCCCCGCGCCGCAUACUCGCCACCUUCUGAAUGUCCCCCGCCGCGUCCAUCUCGUCGCUAUCCCUCCAACUCCUCCCCCCCCUUGCUGCCGCCGCCGCCUCCUGCUAGUGCUCCCCCUACCAAUCCGCAACCCGCACCACAACACAACGCCGAGCUGCUGCCACCGGGUUACCACAAUCCGCACCCCGCACCACAACGCCGAGCUGCCACCCGCUUAACGAUGGGAGAGAGUUGAGGCGGAGGGUGGGGGUUUUUGUAGGGGUGACGCGUUGGGACGGGACGAGACGGGGUCGCCUGCCGGGCGUGGCUCGUGAGUCGUGACAGACGACGGUCAGAGGUUCAAGAGGUCGCCUGCCAGUUGCGAGUUUGCUACCAAGAAACCUCGGCCCCCUGGCUGGGCCUGGGGCAGCAUUGAUGGACGGGGCUGGGCCGCUUGUUGCUUCUAGAAGGUGACCUGUUUUCGCGUGGGAAUGGGAGAGGGGAUCAUCAAUUAAGGCCUUGUUUAGAUUGAGAAAAAUUUUGGAUUUCGCUACUGUAGCACUUUCGUUUGUUUGUGGCAAAUAUUAUCCAAUCAUAGACUAACUAGGAUCAAAAGAUUCGUCUCGCGAUUUACAGGUAAACUGUAGAAUUAGUUUUUAUUUUCGUCUAUAUUUAAUGCUUCAUGCAUGUGCCGUAAGAUUCGAUGUGAUAGGGAAUCUUGAAAAAUUUUAGAAACCUAACGGACUGCCGUGCCGCCCCGUGACUUUCUAGAAGGCCAAUGGAUUUUUUCCUAGCUCAUCUUCUCUCUCGCUAGUCGCUACGUUGACAAAAACUUCAAACACGCGUCCAUUCAGGACAGGCAAAUCAGAGGCGUGUUUUUAGUUCGUAUAUGCGAGCUUCGUCCGUGUUUAAUUUCAACUUAGGCAGUCCGGCGCGUAAAACUUCUUCCUUUUGAAUUUUAUGUAUCUCAAGAAUCUCAACUCCAUCUCUGGCUAGCAACCGUGACUUGCGCCAUGCAUUGACAUCUUCGAGAAUAAGUGACAAGCGUUGACAAACCAAAUUACUACUUUUGUUUUACCAAAUUGUACUUGCGCAGAAGGACCCGCGCAUGUUAGGUGUUGUUUAGUUUGAAAAAAAAAAUUAAAUUAUCUGUUACAUCAAAUCUUUAGAUGCAUACAUAGAGCACUAAAUAUAAAUAAAAAAUAAUUAAUUAUACAGUUUGUCUGUAAUUUACGAGAUAAAUUUUUUUAACCCAGUUAAUCCAUGGUUGGAUAAUAAUUUAUCAAAUACAAACGAAAGUGGUACGGUACCCGAACCGAAAAUUUUUCGCGAACUAAACAAAGCUUUAGGGGGUGUUUAGUUUCCCUUUUAUUUUAAAAAAAGAUAGAUUUUAGUUCAUUAUUUUGCAUGAUGGGACUAAACAACAUACAAUUUUUUUUAACGAAAAGGUGGCUAUUCUAUAUUUUGGAUUUUGCCCUCAAGAGGCUAAAAAAGCAAAAAAGAAAAAAGUCUCAAGAAGCCCUCAUGAGAACGGAUGAAAUUAAAUAUAACUCUGAAAAUUUAGAUAUUUUAUAUUCCAUCGUUCUAAAAUAGUUAACAUUUUGCCUUUUAUGAGAAACUAAACAGCCUCUUAAUAGAAUAACGGUGACGAGUUGACGACAGUAACACCAACUCCCCAAGGGAUGUGCAGCCAGCCACUCUUCCCAUUCCACUUUCGGGGCAACGCUGAAUUUCUGGUGGUGAAAAUGGAUUGAUCCGAGUGGAAGGAAGCUUCUUCUGUUGCCUAACCAUCAAAGUUAAAUCCAGUUGUUUUAGUCCGUCAACUAUCAUCUAGAUUUUCAACAUCUUUAUCUAAAAAAAUCUAGAUUUUCAACAUGACCGUUUCGGUCCUCCAGGAGCCCGCUUUUAUCUUACGACUAUUAAAGUGAUUAUUUUAGUCCUUCAACUUUACAUUUUAAAUUCAAUUUAAAUUUUCAUUCAUGACUAUCAGAAUAUCUUUUUAGUCUUUAAACUUUUCUUUUCAGUGAAGGCCUUGUCCUACAUAAAACACCAUACUAUCACGCUUAUUUAGCUCUAGCGCCACUUAUGAUAGAAGAUUAAGAAAAUAUAGUAUUAGAAUAAACACAUUAUUAGUAGACGGUUUAAAUACCAUUUAGUAGCGAUUAAUAAUUCCAAUAUAUUAUUGAUGGUUUAAAUAACUACAUUGCUUUUCGGGAAGCAAAGUUAUUGUACCUUAUUAAGAAUAGAUUAAUAAAUUAGAAUCACGACAGAUCUAAUUUUUUUCAGAAUAUGCUUUGUUGAGCUAUAGCUUUUAUAGAAGUUAUUGUGAGCUGUGACUUUAAAAAAACUACCUAGGAAAGUUAAAAGGCCGUUUACGAAGGUUUUCGAAAAAGCUUGGCUCACUUACAAGCAGACCCCAUAUGUCAUGGACAGUGAGCCUACAUCUUCCUCCGCGCCUUCUUAAGUCUCUAGGAGACCAAAACCUAAAAUAGACAUUUAACUUAAUAUUUAUAGUCUUCAACAAAGUAUCUAUAUAGAAUAUCUAUUUUAAGUAUCAGGAAAGAUAUAAUUCAAAUUUGAGUAUCCUCUCUUCUUGAGACCCAUUGUAGGAAAGGUUCUCUUUUAGAUCUUAUUAUUGGAGAAAAUAAAAAAUAGAUAUAGAACCCUUUGUUUGUAGCGCUAUCGAAAUUUGGAAUGAGUCUUGUAUAUUUUGGUUGGUUAAUGGUCGUCAGAGACAACCUAAUGGCUGUGGCGUCGGUGGCCAUGGCGCCGAGCGUCGGCGGGAUGGAGCCGGCCAUAACGCUAGACCAGGUUUCGCUUUGGAGCGACCUGAACCAGCGCAUAUCCCUAAUUCCCUAUUGUCCCCCACAGCCGCCGGAUUCGAGACCCCACUCUCGUUCUUCCUCUCCUACGACCCGCUCACCGGCGACGAGCGACCACGGGAGCCGGGGGCCAUGGCAUGUCGUGAUUCCCCGUUGAUCACGGGGUCAACUCGAAGAUCUACCUCUGGCAGCGAGAGCACCCAUGGAACCUCGAGGCUGACACCAUCGUCAACUCAUCCAAGUGACCAACAAGGUCAGGAUCUCUCCGUGGAUGCUCAGUCUAGCUUUGAAAUUUUACAAUUCAGAUGCUAAUGGCCAGUACUCUUGUGGUUGUGUCGAACUUGGACGAAGCUCAUAGCAGUCCUAGGCUUCAUGCUGCUGCAGGGCCGGGACUCAUCGAGGAGUGUGCCACUUUUGUACUAUUUAAUGCUGGCUUCGCUUCCUAAUUUGGCUACUAAAACGGUGAUUGUAAGGUGGUUUCUCGUUUGUGCGUGGUCUGCAGGGUGGCUGCCACAUUGGGACGCCUAAGAUGACAAAUGCUUAUGAUCUGCGUGCCAGGUGUAUGUGAUUUUAUUUGAUUGGUGACUAUUAUAAUUAAUUACCUCUAAGCUGUAUCUUAGAUAUAUGCGCAGCCUCUUGGCUGGCCAGGCCCUGUCGCUGCACGCGCCUCAUCGACCGUUGCGCGCGCCCAUGGCCACUCCUCCCUUUGGCAGUUCGAGCUCCGGCACCUCGACUGCUGCCACGGCGGCCAAGCUCCGCGAUGAAGCCCUCAUCACCGCCCAGACGCUGGAGGAGGAGGAGGCCGCCUCCCUGUACUCCACCAACACAGAGCGUAGCCAACAACUUCAGGCGGAGAUCGACCUCCUCAAGUUCACUGCCGCCGCCCCGGAAUGCAUCCGCGCCGCCACUGACGCCCUGGAACAGCAAGCCGCUGUCCCGUGCAGAUUCUCUUCGUGAUGACAGCUCGCCUGACUACGACGACUGCUCCAUUGACUCCAAAGCUGCGGCCAUCGCUCAUCUGCACAGCAAGGCCACCGCUGUAUAGAACAUCAAGAAUUUGAUUCCAAUCGUUCUUGAUCUCUAAUCCUCCAACUACUCCAAGUGGCACGACUACGUCCUCCUCGUUCUCGCUCGCUUCAUGUUGAAAAACCACGUCCUCAGUGACGUUUCACGCUCCGCUGAUCCAGCGUGGUCCUGCAUGGACUGCGUGGUCGUCUCCUCGCUCUUCAACACCAUCUCCACCGAACUCCUGGGUGUCAUCCACGGGCGUGAUGGCGUCUGUGCUCGGGCGGCUUGACUUGGCAUUCAACAACAUUUCUUGAACAAUGACAAGUCCCACGCCAUGCCCCUUGACGCCGGGUUUGGCACCCUCUUGUGGCCAAUCCCUCCCUGCCCACCUGGCAUCGUCAUCUCGAUCACCCGGGCAAGACUACUCUUUAGAGUCUCGCUCAGCCUUCUUCGAUCAUCUGUAGCAAGUCUAAAGAUGACUCCCUCUGCCAUGCCUGUCAACUUGGAUGCCAUGUCCACUUACCCUUCACUAGUUCCUUGUUCAAAGCACCUAAGGAUUUUGACUUGAUACAUUGUGAUCUGUGGACAUCACCAAUUGUCAGUGUUGUUGCCAAGUGGCAACCCGUAGUUUCUCGGUCAAGCGCCGAAGCUGAGUACCGUGUUGUUGCCAACAACAUCGCCGAAGUCUCGUGGCUGUAGCAACUUCUACAGGAAUUGCACCACUCUCUGAAGUUUGCCUCCCUCCUCUACUGUGACAAUGUCAGUGCCGUCUACCCCUCCACCAACCCUGUUCAGCAUCAGCGCACCAAGCACGUUGAAAUUGACCUUCACUUCAUCCGCCAUUGGUGCAGUCCGUGUUCUUCAUGUUCCUACCAUGUCAUAGUGCAUCGAUGUCUUCACCAAAGGGCUUCCUUCCUCUGUAUUUAUGGAACUUUGCUCCAAUUUGAACGUUUCUUCCACCGACAUUCUGACUGAGGGGGAGGGGGUGUUAGAAUUAAUUACCUCUUAGUUGUGUCUUAGAUAUAUCCGCAACCUCCUAGCUGGCCAGGCCCUUUGGGCUACCCCUGUACUCCUAUAUAUAUGUAAUCCCUCUUGUAAUCUAUCAUCAAGUAAUCUAAGACUAUUAGCCUUCGUCUAAUAGUGACUUAAGAGGUUGUAGCAAAUUACAUACCACUGAUGGCUUAGUAGUGUUCGCCAACAACAUUGCUUUCUGAGUAAGCCCCUUUAGGUGAUACAUGAGUCCCCAUUCCCACGGACGAAGGUCCUGGUAGUAUUGCUCAUUUGAAAUAGUAUGAAUUUUGGGCACCUUUUAGUGAUUUAAAAUUACAACUUGCUAGUGAACAUCUUAAUUGUUAGGGUGUUAAGGUUAGCUAGGUUCAUUCGUGUUUACCAAAUUUUUUGCAUGAAUGUCAGCAAGAUGGUCGAUGACAUUGCCUUGUGUGGGGUAUACGCAGGUGAGUGCAACACUAUGCAUAGUGAUUUGUAUCAUGCAAGUUCAUAAAUCAUUCAGGUUUAUUCUAAUUUUGGCAGUUCAUGGCCUUUUUCCUUAAACACGCAUGAGAGUUGUGUAUCAUUAUAUUAAGAAGAAUAAAGGAGUGGGUUUAGAAACCCCAUACAUCCACGCACAUACACAACCCUUUUACAUCUAAUGGUGUAUCUCUCUCACACUUUUCAAACUUGACCCACGACCACUAGAGAGGAACUCACACAUUGGUUGGCUCUAGAGCAAGGAGACUGGAUAUUCCCUGAGCUCUGGCCGAACUCCACAGGAAAAACUCAUCUCUUACUGAACCCAUAACACUAUUUAGGCUCAGUUGGAUCCCAUGAAACACACAGCGAUUGCGCUGAUUCCAAAUGGACCAAGCUCCUAGAAUGAUGAUGGAGUUGAGACCUUCUUUUAGUCUGGUCAUCAACACUAGAGUUUGUGCAUGCCCACCAUGCAUCAAAGGAGUUGUUAUCAGGCUAGGGGGGAGAAGACACAUGAGAUCAGUAGAUGUUCAAUUGUUUCCUCAGCUUGAUCACAGAGCGAGUAGCGUUCAGGAUGGGGCGGACCUCUUUUAGCAAGACAGUCUACAGCCCAGCACCUAUUGUGUGCCACUAACCACAUGAAUAACUCGCAUUUGCCUAGUGCUCAGCUCUUCCAGAUUCUCUCCCAAGUCCCAAAUUGUAGAACCCCCAAUAAAAAAUCCCUCAUAUGCAGAUUUAGCAGAGUACAAUCUUGAACUAGAGAAUUGUUGUAUUGAGCAUCAUCUGCUUUAGGUUGCAAAGUCAAAUCGAAGAGAAGGUCCCAAAACUUUAAAAAUUCUAUCAACACAGGUAUUAUAAUGGCACCCCAUAUGUCCUGCACCCAUUUCAUCUUGGUAAGGGCUUCAUACACUAUCCUUUUCCUUGCUUUGUUGUUGACUGAUCCAAAAAGAGUAGGCACUAAUUGAUCCAGACUCUGGCCAUGCAACCACAUGUAAGUCUAAAAAAUUGUGUUCUUGCCAUUGCCGACCUCUAAGACAAUGGCCACUCUAAAGACACUUAGGUUUGGAAAGCCGCCCAAGGUCUAUCAUGUUCAAUUUUCUGUAACCACGACUAACACACCUAGAGAGCUAUAAGUGCAUUUGCCGCCAUUGUGAGUUUUGGAUAAUUAAUGACAAUAAAUUAGGGACUAACAUGUUUAUCAAGUGAAAUUUACACAUGUUAGUUCAUUGAUGGAAUUGAAUGAACACAUUUGGUGAUUUAUAGCGCCCUAAAUUUUGAUGGACAAAAGGCGCUUCGACUCAAUAGUUUCAACACCUCUUACUUCUUUUUGGGUCGUAGGAAACGCCGCACUAUCAAGGGGGACACAAAACAAGUUAGCAAUUUGGGGAUAAAAAGUGCUCUUGUCAACCUAUUUGUGGCUGAGAGACAUGCACCGGAAGUUCUGAUGGGCAGGACCGGAAGUUCCGGUUGCACCUUGCGCCAAGCGUUCGCGUUUCAGAGAACUAUUCUGGUCUUCAUCUAGAAGUCCUGGUAUGGACUAGAAGUUCCAGUCCCGGACCGGAAGUUCUGGUUGAAGAAGUUUGUGUGAGCAAGUGCGUUGCAGAGAUGUGUUCUAGGCUCGGUCCAAAAGUUUUGGCAGGCCCGAAGUCCCCCCAACGGUCAGAUCUUGGUGGACCGAAAGUUCUGAUUGAUUCCACUAAAACUUCUGAUGCCACCCUUUAAAUACUUCUUACCUUCAUUUCUAACCAUUGCCUAAGCUUUAUACACUCAUUCUCUAACUCUCAACUCUCUCCAAGCUGUGACACCCACUCUCUCUCCCCCUUUGCCUUUGAGUUUCAAUCUUUGAUUAUUUGAGCUAGGGACAUGAGAUUUGAGAGGGGGAGCAUCGAUCUUCGACUUGAGCACUUGGGUUCUCUGACUUGCCGAAUUGGUUUGUGUUUAUUACUCUUGCGUUCUUGGAACCCUAGCCAGCUAGGAAUUCUUCAUGGUUGCCCGUGUUGAUUCAUUUGUGAGGGCACCCUGAAGUGUUUGUAUCACCUCUUUGAUCCUUAGUGGAAAUCUCAAGCUAGCCUUCAUGGUUGCUUGAGGGAGGAGACCUUAGUGGUCACCUCAACAACAAGGACGUAGGAACUCCUUCGUGGGGAUUGCCAAACCUCGAUAAAAAUACCUUAUCUUGCUUUGGUGGUAGCUUCGACUACCCUUUGUUCUUUGUGUUCUUGUUGUUCGUCCUCUCUACCUCCACUUCAUAGGUGGGUGGUGCCGAUCUAUGACUUGGUGUGAUGCCAAGUCUUGAGGAGGUCAACAUCAUCAUCAACAACCUCUAGGAGGGUGUGGAAACACUAGAUCUGAAAUCCUAACUCCACUCACUCUGAUUUUGUAGCUCGUUUAGGGCACUAGAAGUUCAGUUGGUCUACACCGGAAGUUCUGGUACCUUUGACCGGAACUUCUAAUCUAGACCACCGGAACUUCCAGUAUGGUAUUUAACUUCCACAAAUUCGAGUUUGUGAGUUUCAGGUUUUGUAUAAAGGCCUAUACACCCCCUCUAGGCCAAUUAGGUCCUUUCAAGAGCCUAUCCCAGCUACUACAGAUGGGAAAUGCCAAGGCCUCCAAGUUUUGGUGGCCGAGAUGCUAAGUAACCUUAGGCCAGGCCAACAGACAAUGUCCCCCUUCACAUCCCAGCAUCCUCUCUAGAGUGUACACGACUGUCCUCUCUAGAACAAACAAUGUCCUAUCCUAUGUUUUUGCGUUGUUUAUUCACAAGGGAAUCAAAAUAAUGUGGGCUCAUCAUGCCAAUUGUUCCCCUCUUACAUGCUUAUGAGUGUUUUUACAAAUGCUUGUGAUUUGUACAAACUAUAUUUAAUGCAAGAACAUUUUGUUUGUGCAGUCCCCUUGUCUGUGUUGUUGCUGGAUGUUACCUUUGAUGCACUACUGCUGCUACUAGAGAAGAGAAGUAAGGAGAAGAGAUGGAAACUAGGGCAGAAGAUAGAGGAGCAAGGAGGGGUCUCACUAGGUUCCUUCGUUGUGGUGCCGCAGGUUGAAAGCUCUAAUUUGGUUUUAGUGAAUUGAUGAAACCGUAUGUGCUAACCUAUUGCUCUAAGUGCUCAUGAGAUAGGAAAGCACACUCCAAGUUGUGAGCUACAUGGGUGAUGGUCAUGAUGGUGAUAGUGGAACCAAGGUGAUCAAGUGCUUAGGCUUGGAAAAGAAGAAAGAGAAAAACAAAAAGCUCAAGGCAAAGGUAUAUUUGGUUAGGAGCUUUUUUGGUUUGCACUCCAGACACCAUAGAGGUUGUGAGUGAUUUAGGAUUGAUAGCCGUACAUUAAGAGGGAUGAAACUCGUAUUGAAAUGCAGUUGUCAAAGUGCCACUAGAUGCUCUACUCUUGCAUAUGUAUUAGGAUCUAGUGAGUGAGCUAACUCCUUUGAGAAAACAUUUGUGAAAAGCUAACACACUUGCAUAUAGUGGUGUACACUUGGUGGUGUUGGCACUUUUUCAAAGGAGGUGGAGUUUGAGAGGUAGAGAGGGGUUUGGGAUCCGCUCUCCUCCCACCGAGCUUGCGAUGCAAGAUUUGGUGUUUUUUGGAAAUGAAGUGCUCAUUACCCAUUGCAUCAGAGAAAAGAACACACAUCAGAUGCUAGGGUUGGUAACAUCAGAUGCUAGACCUACGUUUGACACGUGUUGACAGUUCUGUGCUUUUCUGUGUAGUGCGUCGGCGCAUCCAAUGGUCUAGUGUCGGACGCUGGUCAAGCACUGUUUGAGUGUCUGGUGAACAGUGACGUCAGUAGGGUCACGAGUGAAGUUUCAGGUAGUGUGUGUCAGACGCUAAGGCACAUCUGAUGGCACACCGUCAGACAUGUCCGACACAUCCCCGAGGGUUUGUGGACCUCUUUGAGUAGCGUCAGGUGUGAGGCUCAGCUUUUGGUGGGUUUCGUCGGAGCGUCUGACGCCCUGUUUAACUACAGUGUUGAUAGACUUCGUGAUCAUUAGAGAUUAACAUGUGAGAUUCAAAAGAAGGACAUGUGGCUACCAUCUGAGCAUUGGACUCUAGGUGCCAGCAUCCGACGGCUGACCGUCUGCGCGUACGACGCCCUCGUUUUCUAUGCAGUGAGAGAGCCAACAGUUCUAUUUGUUUGGGUGUCUAUAAAUAGUUGUUGGUCAGCUUGGGCUCGCUCUCUUGGCCAUUUUUCAUUGACAUAGCAACCUUGUGAGCCUAUCCAGCACCCUCCCACUCGAUUGCAUCAUAGUUUGAUCAUCUUGUGAGAUUGGGAGAGCAUCCAAGUGCAUUGCUUGAGUGUUUGCAUCUAGAGGCACUUGGUGAUUGUGUUUCACUAUGGGAUUCACUUAUUACUCUUGGUGUUUGCCGACUGCUAGACAGCUUGGUGCAACGAGGAUCAUCGAGCGGAGGCUGGUGAUUGUCUCCGACUCUGAUCGUGGUGAUUGUGAGUGGUUCUUGAGCCUUCCCCGUGGGAGUUCACAAAAGGCAUCUCUAGUGGAUUGCUCAUGGCUUGUAUGACCCUCAUCUUGUAUUGGUUGUGUGGUGCCCUAGUGAGGGUUGGCGUGUGAGGCCAUUAAGACCAUAGACCUGCAAGUGAGUGUGUCGAGGACUAGCUUGCCGACAAGCAAGUGAACCUCGAUAAAAAAAUCAUUGUGUCAAUCAUCGAUUCUGAGGUGAUUGGUCUUCAUUGGCAUUCUCCAUGUGAUUGAUUGGCUUAUUCCUCUACACGAUGGUAUAUCAAUCCUAACCCUUCUUUGCACUACCUUGCGAACCAGUUUGUGUAGCUCUCUUGCUUAGCUUAGCUUAUUACCUAGGGGUAAGUAGUGACAUAGUCUUUAUGUGCUUCCUUAGAGACUAUAGAAACUAGAUUGGGUAGGAGGCUUGCAUCACCCUUGUAGAGCUAGUGCCAAAUUUGCUUCGCUAUCUUAUAUACUAAUAGAGUGAUUUUAAUGUUGUGGUAGAAGUUUUUAUUAGGCUAUUCACCCUCUCUAGCCAUUAGGAUCUUUCAUAGGUUAAGAAUCCAUGGCAUAAGGCCAUAGCUCAUUUUCCAACGAAGAAAGGCCUCUCCCCCCUUGAUAUAAUCGUCUAAUCAGAAAGGAAACUACUUGUACAAAAGCUUAUGCAUGCACCCAGUUAUGAAGUUAGCUAAGCUAAGGAAAUUGCUUGUUUCCAUCCCUAGCUUGUCACAUUUUUCAGUUCUUGAGAGCCUACUUUCUUUAUGACUGCUGCUUGUCCUGAAUUGUUUUUCUACUCUAAAUUCAUUGCCAAUAUUCUCAGAUGUUUUAACUUAUAUGAUUUCCUCUUAUACUAGCAAAUUAUAGUGCCAUAGUGGAUUACCAAAGGUUCAUUUUUUAGCGUAAAGAUUCAUGCAUUUUAUUAAUUCCCAGAUUAGUCUAUAACUUGUCCCGUGCCCUGCAUUUCUAAUUAUUGGUCCUGUUACCUUUUCUAAUAAUUAAGUAUGCCUAUUAUGCUGCGAGAUAAUUGGUUAUUGGUCAAGCAGUGUGAGCCAUUUUAGUUUAUUCUAUUUUAUUUUUCAGAGAACUGUCCUAAAGUUGCAAUUUAUAUUCAACCCACUACAUGGUGCAGUUAUCAGAGCACAACAGAGGUCAGUGAUUACACUAUUCAAAUUCCUUCAUGAUUUGGUAUUUACAAGGUUGCUUGAGUUAACUCUACUGGUGCAUGUUCAAUUCUAGCUCCAAAUUUCUAAAGAGGUAUCAGUGUCGGAAAUAGGAAAGAAUGUUCUGUCAAUUGAAAAAUUGGGUAGCAUGCUAAUCAAAUAUUGAGUUGCACAUCAUGAAACCAUUGUUUUUUAAGCGUGAGUGAUUUACAAUUGAGAUAUCUGAUUCUUUUGCAAGCUGAAAUAAAUCUCAUGAUAAUCCUCUCGACAUAGGUCAAUAAGGUUUGACAAAACUCAAUAUAAAGCAAGUAGCCUAUGAGCUAGUUUAUACCUAUCAUGCAUGGCUCUAGUAGGAUAUUAAUUCUUGCUGCAGAGGAGAAGUAUAGCUAAUCAUUUUAAGAUUUUUGAAAAGUAAAAUUCUCCAAAUGACUAGACAUCAAAAAUCAAGUUCUUACAUUCAUACUAUCUCUCUUUCCACAACAACUUAAGUAAUAUGGGGUCCCUAUAUUAAAGUUCCCAACAGCAAUAGGAAUUUCUAGGAAUUAACAUGGUGUAAGUCUAUCUUGUGGUCAUGAAUAAAACAUCUUUUAAAUAUUUAUGUAUAGGGUGAUUUAACUUUGAGAAACAGCAGCGAUAAUAACACUUUAUAAUAUAGGGAAAUCAUACCUGACCGUGGUUCGAAGCGGAGACCAGGGGGCUCCACCCCUUGGGCAGGCGCCCAAGGAGAAUGGGGCAGCCGCCCCUGGCCAGUGGCCCUUCGGGGUCAGCUUCAUCGAGCGUGGUCUUCGUGUCAUGUCUUCUCCAAUAUUGUUAUCAUUUCAUGAGAAUUCGUUCAUUUCGAUCGUCGGGUGCCUCCCCCACACCGGUUUCCUGUUAUCCUUCAUUCACAACAUGGUGGAGACAAAAGAGAGACAAAAAGGGAGACAUAAUAAUAAUAAUAAUAAUAAUAAUAAUAAUAAUAAUAAUAAUAAUAAUAAUAAUAAUAAUAAUAUUAUUAUUAUUAUUAUUAAUAAUAAUAAUAAUAAUAAUAAUAAUAAUAAUAAUAAUAAUAAUAAUAAUAAUAAUAAUAAUAAUAAUAAUUUAAUUCAUCUUCAUGCGGGGCUUAUUAUUACAAUAGCAAACUUUCAAAAAUAAACACACUUAGUAAAACUAACACUCGCCCUAUCGGAUGCUAAGAUAAAUAGACCCUAUUUCUUAGGGUGCUCUAAAGCCUUCACCCUCUCUUUUAGAGCGGUGGAAUCACACUCUAGUGUUACCAUUCUCGUAUCGCCGUAAGUGAUGCAUCUACUUUGGACAUGUUGACAGGCUUCUAGAGAGGCUAUUAUUGUGCGCUGCUCAGCUAGCUCCUUCUCUAAGUCUACCAUCGUCUUGCGGCGCUUCUGUGGAGUCUCAGCUGCAGCCAUAGCGGAUUUCGGGGCUUCCUUUGGGGGAUGAAUUUGACCUUUGACGGAUGAGCAUGAACCCCCUGAAAGUAGGUACGAUCACCGGUGGUGUAUUUGGCACAAAUGACCUCCACCUUCUUAUUGGUCUUCACUCCUAAUAGCUUCUCGUUGUGCUUCGGUGGUAGGAUACUAGUCCCUGCCGGUAGAGCGAUGAUGGGGCCUUUCGACGGAGCUCCUUCCAAGAGGAGAGGCUUGGUGCGAAUGGGCUGAGCAAAAUAAGAGUGUCCAUAGCAGUGUGGUUGUGGUGGAAUGGUGGCUAGUGGGACAGGCUCAUCUGUGGGAAUGAUAGCUUUGCACUCAGGCUCUUCUCUAGGGAUGGUGUUGAGAUCAAUUCCAAAGGGGAUCAUUAUCCUCUCUGAAUUUUUCUUAGACAUUGUUGAGUACAGAGGUGUUGCUAGCUUUUAAGCAAGAGAAUAAAGGCUAUGAUGGGAUGAGAUUAGACCAUAGGCAUGGGUUGCUUAUAUAGGGGUCUGGAAAAGUAUUUUUGGAAGUGAAAUGAUGAAGGAUGGGAAGAAAAUGGAAAGAUUCACUUUUUAUAAAUAAGGAAGCUCUCAGGAUGUAAAUGGAGAAAGGCGACGGCGAAUGGCCUUGGGGGAGGGGCGGGCGCCCCUAGGGUUUUGGGCGGCCGCCCGACCUUCAAGCCCCCUCUGCCUCAACUUUUUCGUACACUUUAUUAAUUAUAUUUUUAUUUAGAAAAAGUUGAUUUUCUCUGAUAAUUCAAAAAUAAGAGGAUUGGGCCUAAAUAUUUAAAUUGAGAAAGAAAGUAAUUACGUCUACUUCCUCUAAUUCAUUGUUGGGCUCUAAAAAUAAUUUAAGGUGUUGACCAUUUACCUUGAAUAACGUACCUUCGUUAUUGCGAAGUGUGACGGCUCCAUGCGACGAUGAGCUCACCACCUCGAACGGUCCUUCCCAUUUGCUUCGAAGUUUUCCAUGCCCAAAGAGCUUCACCCUGGAAUUAAAAAGUAAUACCUUAUUGCCUGGGGUGAACUCCUUAUUCUUGAUCCUUUUGUCAUGUCAUCUUUUUACUCUCUCUUUAUAAAUCUUGGCAUUGUGAUAUGCUUUUUCUCUCCAUUCUUCUAGCUCAGAGAGUUGCAUCUUCAUCUUGUCUCCAGCUGCUUCUAGGUCCAUAUUCCAUCUCUUGAGCCCAGUGAGCUUUGAAUUCUAGCUCUACUGGUAAGUGACAAGUUUUUCCAUAGACAAGUUGAUAGGGUGACAUCCCGAUGGGUGUCUUAUAUGCUGUCUGGUAUGCCCAGAGUGCAUCAUGAAGCUUAUCCUUCCAAGCUGUCCCCAUCUUAUUUACAGUCUUCUGUAGAAUAUUCUUAAUUUGCUUGUUUAAUGUCUAUGCGUGACCACUUGUCUGAGGACGGUAAGGAGUAGCAAGGUUGUGACGUAUCCCAUGCUUCGAUAGGUACUGCUCGAAGCACUUGUCGAUGAAGUGAGAACCUCUGUCACUUAUCACUAUCCUUAGAACUCUGAACCUUGGAAAUAUAAUUUCUUCGAACAUCUUCUUUGAAUGCAUACUAUUAGCAUUCCUGCAUGGCAUGGCUUCAACCCACUUGGAGACAUAAUCCACUGCCACCAGGAUAUACUCAUACUUCUUUGAUGGCGGAAAUGGCCCCAUGUAGUCAAUCCUCCAGACAUCAAAGAGCUCUAUCUGGAGAUUGCUGAUGAGUGGCAUGGCAUCCCUUGAAUUGAUAUUACCAUGUCUUUGACAUGGGCCACAUCUCUGAAUAAAAUUCUCUUGUGUCUUCAUACAUUGUUGGCCAGAAGAAUCCACACUGUCAAAUCUUGGCAUGUGUUCAGAACGCCCUAUAAUGCCCUUGAAAGGAUCUAAACAAUGCCUAGAGGGGGGGUGAAUAGGCAUAUAUAAAAAUUCUACACAAAACUCAAAAUCACUUGUCAGCAACUGUCAGAAGUCCUGACAUUUUGGGUCAGAACUUCCGACGUUGUUAGAAGUUCCGACACAAACUGUCAGCAGUUCUGACACCUAUGGAAAAUGAACUACAAGUGCUCAAAUGAACUUUGUGAGAUCCACAACUUACAACACCACUGUCUAGUGGUUAGAUGAAGAUGUUGAGAGCCUUCCUUGACACCAAGAGUCCCCCAAACUGUAGAUCAAGACCAAACCCUAAAAGAAGGUUGAGGAAUACAAGCAAAUACAAGUAGAUCUUAAGAACAACAACCACAAGUGACACAAGGAUUUAUCCCGAGGUUCGGCAACCCCUACGUCCUCGUUGUUGAGGUGACCACCAAGGUCGGAGUCUCUUUCACCUCCUUGCCUCUAUCAAAGCAACCACAAAGGUCGCUCGAGUUCGCCACUAAGAAAAACUAGGGUAAUACAAACUUUCCAAGGCUCUUCCACAAGAUGGAAGCUCUUGGACGACGCCUAGCCAGCUAGGGUUCCAAAAACCCAAGAGUAAUAUACUCAAAACCUACCGGCUUGACAAAGAGAUCAAGUGCUCAAGCUUCUCAAAGUGUUGCUCUCACUUAUCCACUAUCCAAUCACUCUAAAUCUUAGGUGAAACGAAGUUAGGAGCAAAGAGGAAGAGGAGAGAGGAGUCUUGAAUGCUUGGGAGCUGUUUUGUCUGAAGGUUGGUCACAAUGAAUGAGUGGGUAACAGUUAGAAAGAGAGAGAGAGAGCGCUAUUUAUACUACUGGGAGAAAAGUCUGCUCAAAUCUACGUCGGAAGUUCUGACUAUAGCCCGGGACUUCCGACACACACUAGAAACACUGUACAAGAGACAGUCAAAGUCAGCACACAAAGUUAGUGUUGGAACUCCCGACGUACGUCGGGACUUCCGACGCGUCAGCACUGCUGGCAAAGGUCGGGACUACUGGCGCUCGUGCGAGGAAGAAGUCAGCCAGAGACCUGGUGUUAGGACUUCCGACGCUUGUCGGGACUUUCGACACGAGCGCGUGCAGAACUUAGCGUCGGGAGUUCCGACUCACGUCGGGACUUCCGACGUCCACAGUCUUCGCGCAACACGUCGGCAGUUCCGACCCACGUCGAGACUUCCGACACCAGUUGUCACAGAAAAGGUAUCUAAGUGCAUGUGAGUUGCUCGAGUGUCUCUAAAAAGUUUUAGUCAAUAGACUUGAGCACUCUAUCUUCUCCAAACCAACAACCUUUGAACCCCUCUUGAUAGUACGUCAUACCUAAACCCAAAGUAAAAUAAAUAAACAAUUAAGUUCUAGGUUGACUCCAAUGCCCUUCUCAAAACCAAAGAUUGGGGGACACCAUUUCAUGUUAUGUCAAACCUUUGAAUCUUUCAUGAUACUAGUAGCUGUAGCAAAUCUCAAAUAAAACACAUUAGUCCCCAAAUUGGAUGUCAUCAAUACACCAAAACUCACAUAGGGGGCAAAUGCACUUUCAGCCCUCCAUAUGGUGAUGAAUGACAUCUUUCAAUUAUUUUGAUUCCUUCUUCCACUGGCACACACCUUCUGAGUAAGCCAUCAGAGCAUACUCGGAAGAGGUAUGGUUCAUCCCAUAUGUGAGAACGACUCUCCUGGAUUAGCUUCUUUUUGUUGCCUUCUGAUGGUACAUAACCUGUAACCAUAAAAUUAACAAUAUAUGCAUACCAGGGGUCAGAUCCGUUGAUUCCAUAGAGCAUGUCGUCCCGGAGUGAGUCGUCGAUAGGCACUUCCUGUGGAUUCUCAAAUUGCAUUCUAGACGAAUGAUCGGCAACAAAAUUUUCUACUCCUUUUUUAUCUUUUAUUUCUAAGUCAAAUUCUUGGAGUAAUAAAAUCCAUCUUAUCAAAUGGGGUUUAACAUCUUUCUUAGUGAGCAAGUAUUUUAAAGCACCAUGAUCAGAAUAAAUAAUCACUUUAGCUCCCACUAAGUAAGAUCUAAACUUAUCAAUAGCAAAAACAACAACUAGGAGCUCUUUUUUAAUAGUAGCGUAAUUAAGUUGAGGUUCUGUCAGAGUUUUGCUAGCAUAAGAUAUUGCAUGAUGCUUUUUAUCUUUACUUUGUCCUAAUACUGCCCCCACAGCAUAAUCACUAGCAUCACACAUAAUUUCAAAAGGUAAAGACGAACCAGGGGUUGAAUGAUUGGUGCUGAGAUGAGUGCUUUCUUAAGAAUUUCAAAAGCUUGUAAACAUGCAUCAUCAAAUUAAAAAGGAACAUCCUUAUCCAAUAAGCGAGUAAGAGGUCUAGCAAUAAAUGAAAAAUCUUUUAUAAACCUAUGAUAAAACCAGCAUGGCCAAGGAAACUCAUAGCUCCUUUUACAUUAAUAGGCGGAGGUAAAUAUUCAAUUACUUCUAUUUUAGCUUUAUCUACCUCAAUGCCUCUUUUAGACACUAAGUGUCCUAGCACUAUUCCUUCUCUAACCAUAAAAUGACAUCUUUCCCAAUUAAGGACUAAGUGCUUUUCUUCACAGUUUUGCAAAACCUUAUCUAAGUUUUCUAGAUAAUCAUCAAAAGUUUUUCCAUAAACAGAAAAAUCAUCCACGAAAACUUCCAUAAUCUUUUCAAUCAUAUUAGAGAAUAUAGACAUCAUACAUCUUUGAAAAUAAGCAAGUGCAUUACAUAACCCGAAAGACAUUCUACGAUAGACAUAGGUUCCAUAGGGACAUGUAAAGGUGGUUUUGCUUUGGUCAUCAGGAUGGGUAGGGAUUUGGUGAUACCCUGAAUAUCCAUCUAAGAAACAAAAGAAGGAAUGGUUGGCUAACCGCUCUAGCAUCUCAUCAAUGAAAGGAAAUGGAAAGUGAUCUUUCUUAGUUGCCUUAUUAAGCUUUCUAUAGUCUAUGCACAUUCGCUAGACUGUGAUGGUGCGUUGAGGGAUUAACUCAUUCCUCUCAUUUUGGACAACAAUCAUACCUCCCUUUUAGGUACAACUUGAACAGGGCUUACCCACUCACUAUGCGACACAACAUAAAUGAUGCCUGCAUGCAAUAGUUUUAAAACUUCCUUCUUUACAACCUCUCUCAUCGCAUUGUUUAGUCUACGUUGGGGUUCUUUAGAUGGUGGAAUAUUAGGAUCUGUAGGAAUGCGAUGGGUGCAAAGAACAAGACUAAUUCCCUUGAAGUCCUGGAGUGAGUAGGCAAAGGCUGAGUGAUGUUUUUCUAGGACUGCCAUUAGAUGAAGAGUCGGCUCCUGAGUGAGUUUAUCACUUAUAAUGACAGGAGACUCUGGAUCAUCACAUAGAAAAGCAUAUCUAAGACCGGUUGGUAAAGGUUUAAGCUCAAUAGAAGGUUUAGGUGGUACUGCAAACUCAUCUAAAGGUUCUUCCUCAGAAGGGCCAGCUUCUUCUUCUAUGAAGAAUCUAGCUUCAUUUUCUAAUCCUGCUUUGGCUAAAAAGUCUAAGGAUGCAGCUCUAAAUUCCUCCAACAGGUCUUCUUGUGGAUAAGGUUCAGUCCUAGAGUUUAAAGAGUGCGAGAUGGACAACGAGAAUUGAAGUUUCUUGCCUAAGCGAAUUUUUAGCUUCCUAGAUUGUCCUUCAUAGAGAAUUCGUCUAAAAGGUUGUACUAUCAAUAGGUCAAAGUCUCAUGUGUCAAAGAUAUAAAUGCUUAAGUGCAUUGGGGUUCCUUCUACCUGAAUGGGUAGGAUGUGUAGGAUUCCUAAACUGGGGAUAAUAUGUCCUGAGAGACUUCUCAUGAAUUUUAUUGUUGAGAUUAAUGUCAUGUCUUGUAUUAAAUGUUCUGCAAGAGACAUGGACAUGAUGUUUAUCCCUAUAUUGGAUUAUAGAGAGCUUUUAUUUGAUCUAUAUUGAUUAUGCAAUGAAUAGGAAUAGAAGAUGAAUCUAAGCGAAUUAUUUCAGUGGAAAGCUCUGAUUCUUCUAACCAUUCAUUACUUAUAAUAGAUACAAAUUCUCCUGAGGUUCUUCCAGAAGGAAUAUCCUCAGGGGGAUCAAAAGACUCUCUAGAGUUUCUCUGUGGCCUCUUCAUAGAGUGAUAAUUUAAAACAUUUCCAAAUUCGGUAAAGAGAUCCGGUUCUAUGUCUAGCAUAAAAUCUGGAAACGAAAUUUCUUCUUUUUUUUGCUCUAGACAUGUGUUGGCUGAAGUAGAUGGUGUGUCUGGUGAAGGGUUGGGUUCCGCUAACUGGGGUUGAGGCUCUACUUCUAGGAGGUAAUCUAAUUCAAUGGAUAGGAUUUGAUCUAGGAUUAAUCUUGCUUUCUUAGAAGAGACAUGCAAGAAAGAUCCUCUUGAAGUAGUGUCAAGCAACUUUCUACUUUCUCUACUUAGACCUUUAUAAAAAUGUUGUAAAAGAAUAGGGUCUGGUAGACUAAAGUCCAGGCCAGAUGCUAAAAGUGUAGUAAAUUGAUUCCAGGCUGAAGCCAAGAAUUCUUUAGAUUCUUGCUUUAUAGUGAGAACCUUGACUCUAAGGUCGAUGAUUUGGGAAAUAGGAUAGAAAUCUAGGCAAUAGUUAGAACGUGAAGAUCUCCAAUCUACUUGUUGCUUACCUAUUGCUCUAUUAUACCAUUGUCUAGCUUUUCAAUUUAAUGAAAAAGGAAAUAGCUUCCAACAUAGAGUUUCAUCAGAUAUGCCUCCAAUGUGAAGAUAGUCACAUGUUUGCUCAAAGUCUCUAAUGUGUAGGUAAGGUUUUUCAUCUCCUCCUGAAAAGGAUAGGCUUUGGACCAACGCAAUCAACGGCGGACUCAGCCUAUAACUACAUGUUUGGAUAGGUUGUGAUGACUCAUGUGGCACUAGACUGGUCUCCGUGGGUGCAGAGAACUGAAGGAUAGGAAUGUAAUUUAAGGUAUCCAUAAAAGAAAAGGUAAGAUGUAAGAAAAGGUGAGAUAACAGAAAAAGAUAAAAGUAACAUACAAGGUAGAGUAAGACAAGGUUAUCUAAGUAGACCGUUUUUCUCCCCGGCAACAGUGACAUAAAUUCUUGUUGAUAUUAGUUUCGCACACGAAAAAAAUCAAAGAGAAAUAAUCCACAAGUGCACGGAUGUCGUGAGCAUUUCACACGGGAGAUAAGUCCAGAGUAUCAUAUUUAUUUUUUUACCGCUAGGAGAAAGCGUGCAAAAGACUAACCUAUGGUAAGUGUGUAGAUAUCGUUCUAAGGGGAGUAACUAGAGAAAAGAGACACCUCAGAGAGUGCUUAACCCUAGUACCAUAUACCCUACCUUACCUCCUAACGGGACGUGGAUUGCAAAGACCCGAGAGGAUUGUCACUUCCCCCCAAAGGCUACCACAAAUCCGGCCAAACAAGGAGUAUCUACGAGUAUUCCUAGCCCAAGCACCGAGCUUACGCUAUGAAUAAUUACUCUAUUUCCUAAGAGAAGUGAAUAAAGUAAACUCGUAAACCAAAGAAAAAAAAGAACAAUAACUUACUAGUAUAACUUACUAGUAUUAGAAUUCAAAUUGAAGAAUGAUUCUAGAACCAAGCCUCAGGUUAGGAGACUUGAUCCCGAAGAUACGAAGAAGACGACACCGACAGGCCGGGCUUCCUCAACUUCUAUCUUCACCCUAUACUCUCUCAAUCUCUCUUGUUGCUAUCACCCUAUAGAGACAUAUCCAUUCGAGGGAUCCCUCUCUGUUUAACUCUCUCUGGAAAAUAUGAAUUAGGGUUUCAGAGUUAGAUACAGGGGUCAGGGUCUUAUUUAUAGCCCCUUAGGAAUCACCACAAACCUUGGAUCAAACCGACUUAAACGUGCGCUUAAGAUUAAUCCUCAAAGUUGGUGGAGGCAGGAUCCGCGAGGUUCACUCCGAUUGGUGGAGAGCCACGGGCGGCCGACCCAUCUGGCAGGGGUGCCCGCCCCUGGGUAGCUUCCAUGUGGGCCCAGGUUUCAGGUGGUGGCUCCUGGAGUCUUCUAGAUUGUUCCUGAGUUGACGUUCCAGUCUUCUCUCUAUGUAAAUCUGACAUGUGGACCUUCUUUUGUUAUUAUUCCGGUAAUCCCUUGCAGAAAUAGACAAUCACGAAAACUCGUGGAAUUCUGUUAGUGAUAACCCUAUAUCUACUGAGUGCUUGCAAAUAGGUCCUUUUUCAUGUUUAGUUGACGGUUAAAAGUUGUAGUUAUCUACCGUCAACAGAGAGCAACAGUGUAACCCAGUUUUAAUCUUUAUGUAGGUUCAAACUGUUGAUGCAAACCCUUCAUGAGUUCGGAUCUCGCAUGGAAAAUUCAAAAUCCCCAUCAAGCGAAAGCUGGCCUCCAUUGUUAGUCCACACGGUGCCGCGACAUGCCAGUUGUGACAUGCCAGUUGUUUGUGAAAGGAUUCAUCUGCCUUGGGGUGGAUUCAAGUGCAGGUCUCCAAUGGGUUGUUCAGGUGAACAUUAUUCUGGUGCGGAUGGUACCAUUGAGAGUAGGAGUUAUAGCUGAGAAAGGGAGAAACCAUGAUCCAAUUAUAGCUGUGUGAGGACAAUGUUGCUUACUUAGCAAAUUUGAUCUAUGAUAUGUAUGUUGGCACUCCUAUAUGUGUUUAUGCACAGAGCAUUGGCUACUUGGAUUGUUUGCCAGCAUUCUGAUAUUUGAACUUCAGAUAGUUGGAUAAAAAAGACGAGGUUUUCUUAUAGCAACAGUUUGAUUGUUUGGAAGUUUUGGUAUAGUAGUGGGGCUUGCAAAUUCAAUUUGUUGGUUUUGACUUGAGACUGAUUUUGUGAACAUCACACACAAGAAUAAUCAUUGUUGAUAAUAGUGUAACACACAUCCAAACUUGUUAUCGUGACAGUAUUUCAAUGGGCAUGUGGAACCAAAGAAACAUGAAAGCAAGACCAGGUUUUUAUGAUUCUUUCACAUGUACUUGUAGUCUUCUGGUACUCAUAUACUCCUACAAGUAUCAAAAUAGUACGUAAAUGCUUAGGUCAACAGCAACACAUGAGGUAUUUUCUUGCCUCUCUAACUGAUCCUUUGCAAGGAGCUACAAGCUUACAAAAUUUACUAGAUGUGUGAAAUAUUCUUCACAAAAUACUACGACAUCAUCCUCCCAUAAAAGGAGCACAAUAUCCUCUAAAAAAAGCUGCAAUAACUUCCAGUACAUACCAUUUAACUAACCAAAGAAUACAUAGAUUUGGCGGACUCUCCCAAUAUGCACAAUCAAAUCUACUUGCACGACACAACGAAUGCAAAAUCCCUUGUCCAGGAGGUGAUUUCCCAGCUCCUAUCGUCAUUAUCUCUUCUGGAAGUUGAGCUUCAUGAUGGCAAAGCCAAAUAGGGUCGCAAAGAGCACCGCGAAUGCCACGACCACGGCGGCCACCCAACCCAGCCAGCUGUGCUUGAAGCCAAAGUAGUCCUCGACAUACUGUGACACCACCACGGUCCUGUUGUUGUCGUCCAUCGGAGUCAUGAUGUCACCGAACUGUGACACCACCAGCCCGUAUAGCGUCCAUGCCACAGGGCAUAUCCAGCAGUACCACCUCCACCAGAUCGGUGUUUUCUGAAGGUAGCCGGAGGGAAGAACCGGAAUGAGCCUUGUUGCAUUGGAAAUGGUAGACAGAAGUUGCAGGGGGCAUGAUGAGGUCUUACCGGUCGGGGGAUGAUGAACCCGGAGAAGAGGUUCCAGAUGGCGUAGAAUGCGGAGGAGACGAUCGAGGCGAUGUGAUAGUUAGGUGUCAGCCCGACAGCCAUCAUGCCGUAGAAUGUGAAGUAGAGCAGUGUGAAGUACCCAAAGAAGAGGUACCAGAAGAACUUGGCAGCUGUCCACUCAAACCCGAUCAUGGAGUACACUAUGACACCGUAUAGAAUAUCCUGAACCAAUGCGUAUGGGAGCUCAAUGACAACCUGUGAGGAGAUAAAUUGCUCAGCUCAGUGCCCUGCUCUCUGAAUAUGGGCCAACAGGCAACAAACAGCAGAAAAAGCCACGUGUGAAAUUGAUUCCAGGAGGAACGUUCACCUGGCCAAAGGCAUAAGGGAAAGCAGAGUACAUGCCAGCAGCUCUUUCGCGGUAAAAGACUGUCCGCUCCACGGCCACCACUGGCUGAACUGAGGUACAAUUCAUGAUCCCGAUGAACAGAACCGCAGAGUACAUUGAUCCCAAGGCAUUCAUCAAAUCUUGUGAUGUGGACCUGGAUUAAGAAGAAAAACAUGAAUAAAAAACUGAAGGUCAAGCCACAUUUGCAAUAAGUAAUGGUACAAUUUGGCGUGACUUACACUUUGCCACCUAGGUCCCAAAAGAUGGUGCCAAGGAGGAGAGCAAUGAUGGUAGUGAAAAAGAACCUAACGGUAUUGUAAGGAGGAUUCCGCCAGUAUGACAGGUUCUGUUUCCACAGGCAAGCCACACAUUGUGUAAUGGAAGACUGUGCAUACGUGCUAGCGAAAUGCAGGUCACUUGAACCUGGCACCGGUUGGCUUAAUUCCUUUAUCAACACCUUGUUCCUCCUGCAAAAUGUAACAAGCAACACAUCAUCUACUGCAGAAAUUCCCUGGAGAAGGAAGGUUGGUUAAUACUGAAAAGUGCAAAGCGCAUUAGUAUCUACCAAACGGAAGUAUUCUCAAAGAUGAAGUAAGUGACUAGUAGGGAUUGUAAUUUACUUACUGGUAGAGUUCAGAUUUCUUGUAUAUGUCACUGAAAUCAACACCUAGAAUCUGUUCCUGAGAAGUUGCGGUCACUUCCAGCAUCCAUGUUGCUGGAUUGUAGCCAUCUUUAAUUUUGCUGACCCCUUGGAUCCCCUGGAUAAUAUGAAACCACAUGAUAUUCUCAGUAAUUUCCAAGAAAUUUCGUAGAUGGAUAGUCAGAUUCCUCUAAUAAUAUUUACCUCGAAAUACUUGAUAAGAUCUGAAGAAUGAUGUCCAAGUGGACCAGCAUAGAUCUCUUCUCCACCACGCUUCAUAAGGAAAAGCUGCACGCAUUGAUCAAACAUUUUAGACUUUGCAAGUUGCAACAUAAACAACCAGAAUUUUCUACUUCUCCUAGUGAUGUGGGCUUCUUCAAGUGUUUUAUCAUUCAAAAUUUAGAACAAACUUUCCCUACUAAAUGUCUCCUAGUGAGAAUCGCAUGUGCUAUGACGAGUGAUAGUGUUUUACUACUAUUUAAAAACACUAGGAGAAUUCCAACUUUUUGGUUGGGAUAGUUCAAGGAUGGGAAAACCAGCCACAGCAAAACAAGUAAUCCUAUGUGAAAUCUCACUCACCUCAUCAAAUGCUUCAAAUAUGUCAAUGCUAGGCUGAUGUAUCGUGCAGACCACAGUUCUACCGGUAUCAACAGUGUUCCUCACCGUCCGCAUCACAAUUGCAGCUGCUCGGGCAUCAAGCCCUGAGGUUGGCUCAUCCAUAAAGAUGAUUGAUGGAUUUGCAACAAGUUCCACAGCAAUGGUAAGCCUUUUCCGCUGCUCAGUUGACAGACCAUUCACUCCAGGAAGUCCAACCAAAGCAUUUCUCAGUGGUGUGAGCUCCACAAGCUCCAUCACCUCCUCAAUGAAGAUCUGCACAUAUAAUGGUGAGCAACUAUCUACCAAGUGUAUCAUUCCAUGAGUGGAAAUUGCAACUAUUUUGUGGAACUAACCUUUCUUUUGUUCGAAUCGACGUCCUUGGGAAGCCGGAGCCAUGCUGAGAAAAGCAAGGAUUCAUAGACUGUCACCUGCGGCGAGUGGAUAUCAUUUUGUUCACAGUAUCCUGAUACACGUGCAAAGGUCUCUUGUUUCUUUGGGUAUCCUGAAAUGCGGAUGUCUCCUUCAAUGUACCCGCCUGUCUUUCUCCCAGCUAACACAUCCAUCAAAGUAGUUUUUCCUGCACCACUGACGCCCAUCAGUGCUGUCAGCACACCAGGCCUAAAAGACCCACUGACACCUUUGAGGAGCUCCAAACGAUCUUCUUGUACACCUUGUGCUUUCAUUUCCUGAAUUUAAUUUCAUGACCAGGGUUACAAAAAAGUGUUGAAAUCGUAUUUGUUGUGUAAGAGAUCAACUUUCUAUAUUUCACCUGUGGCAUGUCAACAGAGUAUUUGAUGUUGUCAAAGGUAAGCGAGAGCGGGUCAAAUGGGAGGAUCAUUCCCUUUUUUGUCGAGACAGAAUCAUCUUCCAUGAUUGCUGAAUCAGUUUCAGUGUUGACCCCUGUUGAUUGAUGAGUGCUUGCUGAUACCAAGUGAUUGCCAUCCAGAACCUCCCCUUUGAUGUUGGCAUGCUUCUCCUGCAGCUCCUCUUCAGAUACAGAUGGCCAGGAGUUGCCAUAUGCUGGAAAUUAAUAAGAUGGAAUCAUUCGCACUUCACAGGUUCAAAUAGACUGAAAUCAGAGAACAAUGAGAAAAUCAAUUUGGGAGUAACUCACGCUUAAGGUAUGUAAGGGCAAGAGUGAAGAGAGCAUUGAAGAGUAUGGUGAACCCAACCAUAGCACCAAAGCCAAUCCAGUACCACUUUGCUUCUGUGAAUACUCCACGAGACUUGAGGCUUUGCACACCUAGGGUCUCGUUGGAGGCAGUGCUAUUCAAUAUUUUGUCCCAGCUGUGACCCAACAUCUCAUUCACUGAAAUGGCAUUUUGUGCAUACAUCAUUGGGGAGAUCCAGUAGCCCCAGAUCCACCAUUUCUUAAUUUUAUCUGCAAGACGAAAUACAGACAAGCAUUGAUUUAAGAAGAGGCUACAUUGCAAAGAAUUACAAAGAGAGAAAGAUGAGUUCUAACCUUUUUGUAGAAUAAAUCCUCCCAACACCAUGACAACCAGCAACAUGAACGAUGCGAAGACAUUAGAAACAAUCAUGUUCCUCGAUGCCCCACCAAUAAACCGGAAGAGUGCUGCUGCCAUCUGAUUGACUGCUAACAGAAUUAGAUACUGCUUGAAGAACCUGGGGGCAACUAUUACUGUCAGAACAUUCAUAGUACAUUACCAGCGUAAUAAGAAUGGCUAAGGAUAAACAUUUAAACAAUCGGAAAAUCUCACCUGCUGACAUUUGGGUCGAACCCAAUGACAUAGUAUGUCAAGAAUACAUAACCGCCAACCUCGAUAAAUGUGAUGGGUAUCUUGAGGAUCCAUGAGGGUAUAGUGUAGGACCAUGCUGGAAAGAAAAGGAGAUCCCUCUGCUUGAAGAAUACAGGCAGCUUGAAGACAGUUAACGCCAGCUCAGAGAAGCCAUUGAACAUGGUCAAAAGCACACCAAAGAAGACUGCACCCAGGUAGAUACCGCCGUCAGUUAUUGUGUCAUGCUUCAUCUUCGUACGGAAGAAGAGAGUCAUUACAAUGAUUGACAUCAGCACCAGCUGUAAUUCCAGAGCACCAAGGAGUUAGUUAUGUUUUAGUUAUUUUUUCCUUACAUGCAAAUCGAUCAUACUGGUUGGACUUGUGAGUUACCUGGAAGGUUCUGAAUAUGUAGACAAAAGAGUUCCUCUUCAUGAGAAGGAUCUCGCGGUCUAUGUUUGCUUUGAGCAGCUCCUUGCCACUCACGCCGUACCUUGUGGUGGUUAGUGCGGCUGGGUGGCUUUUGCUCUUGUCGAACGGAACAGCAAGCUCAUUUGCUAUAGCUCUCCCCGUGUGGAAUGACUUAAAUGCAGUUGCAAAUUCCUUCACAGACACAAACCUGUAGGGCGCAUCAAGUCUCGCCCAGUACUGUUUCUGAUCUUUUUUCGAAGUCACCUGCCCAGCAUUUCAAAGAGAUAAGAUAACAAGAACUUUAUGCAUUUAUGUAUACUGCGAUACGGUGGCACAAUACAUACUUCUUGCAGGAAGUCAGCAACACCUUUCCUCUCAGGGCAUCUGAAACCUACUGACUCAAAAAACUCAAGCACUUCCUCUCGGGGGCCCUGGUAGACAACCUGACCAUCUGAGAGGAGUAUGAUGUCAUCGAACAAGUUAUAUGUCUCAGGUGCUGGCUGCAGUAGGGAGAUAACAGCUGUGCCACCGAGGAUGUGAAUGGACUGCCUGAGUGAAUUCACAAUUUGGAAUGUAGUGGAACUAUCAAGCCCAGUUGAGAUCUCGUCCAUGAAAAGUGCCCUCGAUGGCCCAACCAGCAUCUCACCUGCAUGAAACAUCCAAAUGAUAUAAUUCAGAAAGAACUUCAGCAAAGCCAAUGUUGUUGACCUAUUAUGGUUAUGAAAGACAGUUUUACCAGUUGUAACACGCUUCCGUUGUCCACCAGAUAUGCCCCUGAGCAUCUCAUCCCCUACCAUUGUGUCUGCACAUAUCUCUAGUCCUAAUAUCUGCAGCAAGUGGGGUGUACAUAGUUAAGACAAAUUUGAGUAAGUCUGAUCUAAAUUUCUAGACUUGAGGCUAAAAGUUGCAGUGUACCUUUAGAAUAUAGUCAGUGACCACAUUGGCAUCUUGCCCACCCAUUGCAGACGCCUAAUUAAAUUAAGCAGGAAAACAAUACUCAGUUUUGAUUAUGAUUGGUCAAUUAUUCAAGGAAACAUAAUCUAUGAUUAAAAAAAUCUACUGGAUUUAGUCAGGAUUGCAUGCCUUCAUGAAUGCAUCAAUAUCAGCAUCGGGUUUGAUACUGGCCGCCUUCUCUCGCCUUGACAGCUCAGUCAACAUCUCUAACAACAUAAAGGAAAGAAGCAAAAUCCAAUAAGCAUAUCAAUGAAUAGUGUAAAUUCUACAUGGUAAGCAAGCCGAACGAAUGCAUAUGCAUGUAUCGCGUGAAUAAAGUUGCUCAGAAGUGUACCAAAACGGGAGCCGACACCCUGGCAACGUGCAGAGAAUGCAAGCGUCUCCCUCACAGUCAUCUCUCCUAUGUGGAGGUCAUGCUGGCUGAUGUACGCUGCCGUCCUCUCUGGAACAAACUCUGUCAUCUCAUGACCAUUAUAGGUCACUUUGCCUGAAAACUGCACCGUGUUUCACCAUAACAUUAGGCACUGGACAUUUCAUUAGAGUAGUUCGUACAAAGCAUGCAUCAGUUGCCUAUGAAAGAUGCCCUGUUUCUUGAAUGCCCAGUUUUGUGCAGAAGUUCACAACAAACUAAAAUAAAUGCCGACGAAAUGCGAUGAACGAGAUAAUGCAGACUGGUUUCUUGCGAGGUGCAAUAUUUGCAAAGAAAUACACAAGGAUACAUUUUGACUUUGUACUACCUUGAGGUCUUUGCCAAGCCUUCCGGCCAAGGCCAGCAAGAAAGUGGUCUUGCCUGAUCCAGGCGGACCUAGCAGAAGUGUCAACCUGCAUAAACGUAAAGGACGUGAGGUUGACUGAUCGAAGAAGCCAAGAAAUCCAAUCCUUAACUCCUUCUCUCUUUAGGAGAUUAAUUACUAAUCGAUUCACCAACACAAGCCAAACCAACAGGAAUAUAGAAUUACUCUAGUAACUCAUCGAAUUUGUAGAUGGAAAUUGGAAAAUAGUUUGACUUUCUUGAGGACAAAAAGAAAAAAAAAUAUAAAAGAGCGAUUGUUUUACUCACUACCUGCGAGGCUUGAUGAUUCCGCUGACGUCGUGGAGAAUGGGCAUGAUCUGCUUCCUACUGGGCAGUAUGUGCAGCGCGUUCGCCGCUUCCUGCGUCGAACAAAGAGGCGCACCAACCAAAGCUCAAAAUUGAUCGUCUUUCACUAUCGGAAGUAACGGGUGGAAUGGCUGGCCUACGUACCUCGACCGUGUUGACGACGGAGUUGAGGACGGUGGGCAGGCCGCUGCUGCCGACGCGCACCUCCGCCUCCGCCCCAAGGUUCUGGAACCGCACCUCGAUCGUGGGCAUGUCAAUCCCGACCCUGCAGCAAACAAACACGCGCGCGCGCGGAAAUCGUCAGACACCCGCCGGCGAGCGAUUCUUGAUCCUUGAGCGGGCGAGAAGGUAUACCUGUCGACGCGGUCCUUGAGCUUGAGCAAGAAUCGCUCGUUGUCCUCGUCGGCGACGUGGACGAGGCGCUCCAGCAGCGCCCGCCUGUCGCGCGGGCCGAGGCUGAGCACGUCGACGUCCACGAGCCCCUUCCGGCCGGGCGCCUCGGCUCCGUCGGCCCCGAGGUCGAGCGGCACGAUGGCGCGGCGGACGCGGUCGUAGGUGGGCAGCUUCUCCAGUGCGGCCCAGCGGAGCGCCUCCUCGUCGUCCUCCUCCCUGGACGACCGCGAGAACACGUCGUCGCCGCGCCGCCACAUGGAGACGCUGCCUCCCCGUCGCAUACUCGCCACCUUCUGGAUGUCCCCCGCCGCGUCCAUCUCGCUAUCCCUCCUCCUCCCCCCUUUACCACCACAAUGCGGAGCUGACACCCGCUUGACAAUGGGAGAGCGUUGAGGCGGAAGGUGGGGUUUUUGUAGGGGUGACGCGUUGGGACGGGGCGAGACGGGAGGGGGGGAAGGGAAGGGGUCGCCUGCCGGUCGUGACUAGUCGUGACAGACGGUCAGAGCCGUCAGCCGCGCCGCCGGGGAGCUUUGCUCCUUGCGAGACACCUCGCCCCCCUGGCUGGGCCUGGCGCUGCAAUGCUGGACCGGGCUGGGCGGCUUGUUGCUUCUAGGUGACCUGUUUUCGCGUGGGAAUGGGAGAGAGGGGAAUCGUCAAUUAACGGACUGCCGUGCCGCCCUGUCGUUUCUAGGAGGCCAAGCAUUUUCAGUCUCGUUUUUUGAUUGAGCCCGCCUGGGCUACAGACGAAGGUCCACGUACGGAGUACGGUCUUUGUUUCAUCGAUUCAUCGAUAAAACUUCAAACACGCGGGACAGGCAGAUCAAAGGCGUGUUUUUAGUUCAAAAAAGUCCUCUAAACGUGGUGAAGCUCCACUGUUCAUCUACCGUUUCACCCCCUCACAGUUUCCUAUCCAUCCACAGUUUCCUAUUCCUGGCCAUCCGAUCCUACCUGCACACGCCGGAUGCUUGCCACGCCCACCCCCCACCGCCCCUCCUGCUCCCUCCCAGCUUCCUCCGACAAUCAAAAAAAGCGGCCUCCUCUGCGCGCUCCACCCGGGCAGGCCGGCGGCGUGCCACCUCUGUGGCUCAGGCGCACGAGCGCACGCCGGCGGUGCCCGGCACCAGCCACCAUGUGUUCGCUGAAAUGCUCUUGAGUCUUGAGGUAAUAUAUGAUGCAGUUUUCAUUUCUUCUGGAUUAUUGAGUGUGCUUGACAAAGAUUUGACUGCUUCCUUGCGGUUCCUUGCGAAUUGGACAGAUAUCUUUGGUUAUUAACCAGCAGUGAAUCAUCUGCCAUCACCAGUCAGUCUAGCAGCGGCAACCGCCGCGCCCACGGCCCUCUCGCACGGCAGGUGGAGCACCACCGUCCCCAUUGAGCCUCUUCAGUAUAUGUGCAUUUGUAUAUUUUUUGUUUACCCUUUACUUUGUGUUUUUUUUUGUACUACCUGGAUUAUGGGUGUGUUUAGUUCUCCAUAGAAUGCAAAAUGUAAAAUGUCAACUACUUCGGAAUGAUGAAAUACAAAAUGCCAAAAAUUUCAGGGUUCUUUUUACUUCCAUGUAAAAUGUAGAAUUUAUUGCCAUCAUUAGGGCCUCUUGAGGCUUUUUUGGUCUCUUAAGUUCAAAAUCUAAAAUGGAGAAUAGUUACCUUUUUGCCAAAAAAAAUUUGCAUAGUGUUUAGUUCUAUUAUGCAGAAUGAUGGACCAAUACCCAAAUUUUUUUUUGGGAUGAAAGAGGAACUAAACACCCCCUAUAACUAUGGUUGCUGCUUCUUUAUUGGGUGGUACUGCAAGGAAAAACACCUACAAUGUGAUGCUUUUCCAUGCUGGAAAGAGUUCAUGUCUGUUUAUCAUACCGGCUAUGAACAUUUGAUUCAAUUUCAGUCUAUUUGCAAUAACAAUACAAGCGAUAGUUUUCUGAGAAGAGGAGAAAAUGCAUAAUUUUCUAUGUUCGUCAAGUACCCAUUAUUUCUUUGCUAGCCUUUUUUCUGUCAUCACUAAUUUUAGCUUCAGCAUUAAUGAGAGGUGGCUGGAGUUGAACUUAACAUCCUGGAUUUUUAUUCGGUUCAUUUAAUUGUUUCAACAAUUUUGGAUGUAGGGACGGGCCCUUUUACAGACGCCAAUUUUCCAAGGUUUAGCAGUGACCAUUUUGAGCAUAUUGAUACAAUAUAUACAUAUCCAGGGAUUCAUCUUCGAGGCCCUUCACCACUCAGCCUUUUUUGUGCAUUCAAAUAUUAUCCUGUUGGUGUCACAAAUGGUUCGGUAUACAGUAUCAACUCUAUGAUGAAUCUGGAAGUAGGUGCUUUCGUUUUAUUAAUUCCAUGCCCAUUGUUUUCAUUUAUGACAUCAUCUUUUACUGAAUUGCAAAUCUCCAUUGUUUUCUUACUCUCUUUUUAUUUGUAUAUAUGUAGUCAGCUUCAACAAUGCCCACACCAUUGAUUGCUCAGAACAUUGUCACUGCAAGGCUACAGAAUUGCUGCAAUUAAUUGAUAUUGGAAUCGCUGGCUAUCGCCACACCCAGCCUGGACAUGCCAAAAUCUUUGGGUUCUUUGCAGCCCGAGAUAAGAUUGAACCUUUACGCAACUGCGUUUAGCAAAGCCUAAAGCUGCAAGUCACAUCGUCAUUGUAGAGCAAACACUUUGUAGCUUUACUCAUUCUCAAUGUAAGUUGAACUGAUCAAUCUUUUGCGAAACAUGCAAAUACCAUUCAGAUUUUAUUUUUUGAUUUUUAAGUUCCCAGGUUGGGGAUACAGUGUGAGAAAAUGAUGACUCUGGCGCUAAAUAGGAAUUAUGGUAGGUUAUGGUUCUUUUUGUUAUUGUACUGAAUCCAACCACAAUAUUCAAUCCACACUCCAAGUAGCAUUCGGAUUUCAAGAGCAUCUCCAUCUGAAUGCAAUAUUAGUUCCUUCCUUGCUAAAUGGGCACUGCCAUUAAGUGCCACUAUCAGAAAAUCGUACCAAAGCACAAUAUCUUACUAUUCUUUUAUUUUUGUUUCCACAAAAAAAAAACUCGGUUCCCCUUGAAAUAGUUACUUUGUGAUAGCCAGCUAUGAAUAGGCACAUUGGUACCGCCAACUACCUGUGGUGUGGUAGCUUUGUUGAAUCCAUAAUUUGUGCUUUUCUUAUAUACUUCAUCCAUCGGUAAUUCAGUACGGCAUCCAAAAUGCACAGAAGAUUUUAAAUCAAGACUCCAGCAGUUGUUAUCUGCUACAUGAGACCUUUUGCAUCACUAAUCAUCUCAUGUCAUUGUAUUAUUGUGCUCAGGUUGAUUAUUUGAACCUAAAAAGCAACCAGAGGUUGAUGUUUAUACAAGGCAGAAGGACGAUGGAUCCAACGACUGCAUGGCAGCAAAGGUAUCAUGAUCUUAACCUGCUGCAAAAAUUUUAUUCAUGAACUUCUCUUGGUAACAAAGCUAUCAUGAUCUUAACCAUUAGUUUGUUUCUUUCUUUACAAAUUCCAGGAAGGCCCGAUCAUAAGUGCUCGCAUUGUACCGCUCUGUUUUGGAAUGAGGAAUGAAUCCGUGCUCAUUCAUAGUAAUCAACAUAUCCUCAUGUAAGAGUGCCACAAGCUUUGUGCUAUGCCUAAAUUCCCCCUUUUUCAUUCACGAGCUAUCAAAGUAUCUUUUCGGUAUUCAAUUUUUUCUUUUCAGCCCAACUUCAUGCUUCAUCCUACAUGGAACAGCAUACUAUCACACCUAUUCAGCUGUAGCACCGCUUGUGAUAGGAGAUAAAUAUUAGGACAAACAUAUCAUUAAUAGACGUUUUAAAUACUCUUUAGUAGUGAUUAAUAAUUCUAAUGCAUUACUGAUGGUCUAAAUUGUUAGAAUUAAUUGUUUUCUACUUUAAUUACUUAGUUACUUGUGUAAUCUCCUAGCUUUAAUCCCCUAGCUAGUUGUGCAGCGUUAAUGCCCAGCUGGCCCCUUAGAUGUGCAGGGUUAAUGCCCAGCUGCCCCCUUGGGACUUGGCUGGCCCCUUGGGAUUCGGCUGGCCCUUUGGGCCACCCUCCUCCUCUCUAUUUAUAUGUAAACUCACAUGUAAUCUCGUCCUUAAGCAAUACAGAGCCUGUUUGGCUAUUGUCUAUCAUGGUAUCAGAUCAAACUACGAUCUAUCUGCUUCCACUCCCACUCCACCCGAUCCAGGCUGCGCGCGCGCCCUCUGCUGCUGCUGCGCGCGCCCAUGGCCACCUCCAGCUCCUCCGCCAUGGCUGCCGCGGCCAAGCUCUGUGAUGAAGCCCUCUCUGCUGCCAAGCACCUGGAGGAUGAGGCCUCCUCUCUGCGCUCCACCAACACCGAGCGCAGCCAGCAGCUCGAGGAAGAAGCUGCCCUUCUAAAGUCCGCUGCCGCUGCCCAGGAGCGUGUCCGCGUCGCGGCUGUUGCUCUUGACAAAGAGCGCGCAGAGGCGGAUACCCUGGAGCAGCAGGCUGCGGCCCUUCGGGAUCGCCUCCGGACCGAGCUUCUGGAUGACGACGCUGAAGACGACGACCUCCACUCCGCUUACUCUGAAGCUGCGGCCAUCGCCCACCUCCACAGUCAAGCUACUGCCGUCCAGAACAUCAAGAACUUAAUCCCCAUAGUUCUUGAUCUUCAAUCUUCCAACUACUCCAAGUGGCGCGGCUACGUCCUCCUCAUCCUCGGCGCUUUGCCUUGAAGGAUCACAUCCUCACCAACGACUCCCGCCCCUACAAUCCAGCGUGGUCGCGCAUGGACUGCGUCGUCCUCUCUUGGCUCUUCAACACCAUAUCGCCGACCUCCUGGACGUCAUCCACGAGCACGACGGCCUCACCGCUCGGGAAGCAUGGUGUCAGCGUUUUCCCCACGGGGGGUCACACCAACGAGUGAAUUUGUAUGCGUGCUCCCUUUUCCAGAUGGUGAUGCAAAAAGACACAAAGAUUUAUCCUGGUUCGGGCAAGAGAAGGCCCUACGUCCAGCGGGGGAGGGAGAGUUUGUAUUAUUUUGCACCUAAGUGCUUGUACAGGGGUGAAUACAAGCGUGGUAUGGAAUGAGAUGGAGUAUGAAAGUUCUACUGCGUAUGAGUGUUGUCCUGUGUCCGCUCCCGGGCCUCCCCUUUUAUAGUUCCAAGGAGAAGCCUAGGGUACAAGUAUAGGCGUCAGAGUAGGGGUCGAUAGAGGUAUGGCGCGCGGACCUACUCGAGGCCUCCGUACCGGCGUGGUCUCGAGCCGUCCUGUCCUGGUAGCUUGAUGAUGAUUACGCGUGCCCCUGUAUCCCGCUCUGUGCGCCGUCGUGGACUGGUUUAUCAGUUGUACGCCUGUACGUCAUGGCGGCAGAUACGUCGGAGUAGAUGCAGUGCUGUCACUCGACGCCUAACCCUUCCCCAGGAAGGAAACAUGUCUGGUCGAGGGUCGGGCGCCGCGUAACGCCUUGCUAGCCGGAGCGUUGACCUUGGAUGUCUCGAAGGGGUCUUGAUUAAACGUUCCGACCCUGCUUCCUGCGUCCUGACAUGCUCUGGAUCGUUUGGUGGGGAAGGCUGCAAAAAGAAUGACGGGACGGGUGCCUGUUUCCUAUCACGCUUCCCGUGACUGGCGUGUUAGGUGGGAACGCGACAGGCACAUUAAAUGCCCUGGUUCCCGUGCCCGCGUCAGGCGGCGGGCGGCGUCCUUGCGCUCGACGCCUCCCGAUUCGCUCGAGCCUGUUUCCGUAUUCGACGGUAGCGGGCGCUCGAGCCCCGAUUGAUUCGCUCGACACUCUUUCCAUCUUCGAGGCUGUGAUUGUUGACGAUCGUACGCAUGAAUGGGUAGAGCGUCGAGUUGGGGGCCUCGACUUGCGUACGGGCGAUCUCAUUAUGUACAUCAGUUAGGAUACCCCUUACUGAUAUCCUCGACACAUGGCUCGGGAUUGAACAGCAGUUCCUCAACAAUCGCGAGUCCCGUGCCAUGCUCCUCGACGCUGAGUUUCGCACUCUCAGCCAAGGUGCCCUCUCCAUCGAUGAUUACUGCCGCAAGAUGAAGAGCAUGGCGGAUGCCCUUGCCGACCUCGGCGAGCCCAUCCAGGACCGAACUCUAGUGCUGAAUGUUCUACGACGUCUCAAUGAACGCUUCCAGUUCAUGUCCCAGCUCGUCACCCGCCAGAGGCCGUUCCCCUCCUUCGCCGAUGUUCGUGCCGACCUCUGAUUGGCCGAGCUCAACAUGGGGCCACCCUCUCCUUCGGCUCUCAUCACUGCACCCUCCUUUAGGCCGCCUUCAACACCUGCAUCGGCACCUCCACGCCACCAUCAGGCCACUGCUGGCCAACAGGCUGCUGCUGGACAUCAUGCUGCUGCUGGACAGCAAUCCAGUAGCAACCGUGGCCGACGCCGCCGCGGUGGGCGCGGCUCUGGUGGCUCCCAAAGCAGUACACAGGGCAGUACUGCACCAGCCACACUACGGUGGCCAUCGCUGCUCAACCCCUGGACUGGCUCUAUCCACAUGUGGCCAGGAACUACCGCCGGCGGCGCCCGUGGCCCUCCACCACGCGCAGCCCAGCCUGCACCUUUGCAGCAGGCUCUGGUGGCUGGCGUGCCACCGGCAUACUUCACUCCACCGCCGGCUUCCGGGUCCUACUACCCGCAGCCCCCUCAAGCACCCCCUGCUUGGGCGCCCUAGACACCCGAGGGUCUCGCCAACGCCUUCAGCACCGUCUCCCUCACCCCACCACCGAGUUCCUCGGAUUGGGUGAUCGACUCGGGUGACUCCUCCCACAUCACCGCCAACCCUGGUAUGGUCACCGCUACACCAUCUUCUUCUUUCAUUCCUCCAUUGUCGUAGGUAACGGUGCCACCCUUCCUGUAAUUGGCACUGGCUACUCCGUCCUUCGUGGACCCUUUCGCCUCGACAAUGUCCUUGUCGCUCCUGAUAUUAUCAGAAAUCUGCUUUCAGUUCGAAAAUUCACUACUGACAAUUCUGUUUCUGUCGAGUUUGACCCUCUUGGUGUUUCUGUGAAGGAUCUACGUACCCGGAACACCCUCCUCACAUGUAACAGCACGGGGCCUCUCUACACCCUUCAGCUACCUUCAUCCACCACCGGCUCAUGCGCCAUUGUCGCCACUCCUUCACCGACUACCUGGUACAGGUGCCUUGGUCACCCCAGCAAGGCCACUCUUCAGUCCCUUGCGCAGUCCUCCUCCAUUGUCUGCAACAAGCCUGAAGAUGACUCCCUCUGCCACGCCUGUCAGCUUGGGCGUCAUAUUCGUCUCCCUUUUUCCUACUUCGCUAUCUAGAGCAUCCAAGAAUUUUGAUUUAAUCCAUUGUGACCUAUGGACAUCUCCUGCCGGUUUCAAAUAUUAUUUAGUCAUUCUUGAUGAUUGCUCUCAUUUCCUUUGGAAUUUUCCCCUCCGCGCUAAGUCUGAAACAUUUCCCACGAUUUCUAAUUUCUUCGCUCAUGUGUCUACCCAAUUUGGCUGCACCAUUAAAUCAGUCUAAUGUGACAACGGCCGCGAGUUUGACAACUCUGCCUCUCGUACCUUCUUCCUUGCUCAUGGCACCACCCUCCGCAUGUCGUGCCCCUAUACUUCCCAGCAAAAUGGGAAAGUCGAGCGCAUGAUCCGCACCGUCAAUAACGUCACACGCACCCUCCUCUUCCAAGCUUCCAUGCCCCGCUCUUACUGGGCUGAUGCUCUAGCCACUGCCACCUAUCUCAUCAAUCGCCUUCCCACCAAAACUCUAAACAUGAGCACCCCUUUUUCUGCCCUCCAUGGCACCCUUCCCUCCUAUAGUCCUAUCAUGAUCUUCGUGCUUUCGGGUGCACAUGCUAGCCCAACCUUUCUGCCACCAGCCCUCACAAACUUGCCACCCGCUCCACCCUCUGUGCAUUCCUUGGUUACUCACCAGAUCACAAGGGCUAUCGGUGUCUCGACCUCAACACCAACCGUGUCAUCAUUUUCCGCCACAUUGUCUUCGACGAAACAACGUUUCCUUUCUCCCUCCACUGGUCAACCCCUCCUCUAUAGGACCUUGAUUUUCUAACUGACGACGACACCAUUCCAGUGUCUCCUCUUCCUGCCGGUACACCAGGCGUUGCUGCCCCCUACCAGCCGGUGCCUCUGGCACGCGUAGGCAUGUCGGCGUCCACGGCACCGGUGCUGGCAGCACCCUCCACUCCGGCGCCACCGGCUGUGUGCAGGGGUCCCCGACGUCCUCUGUCCAGGAGCAGGCGUCCCCUGUAUAGGCACCCCCUGCACCGGUCUUCCCGGCUCCACCCGUCGUCCACGUCUACAGCAGGCGCGCUCCCGUCCCAGUUAUUGCGUCUCAGAAACCUCCUAUAAUUCAUGUCUACAGCAGGCGCGCUCUUGCUCCUGCCCCGCCACUGGAGCGCCCAGCAGGAGCCCCUCCUCGACGCUCCAGCAUGGUGCCCUCUCCACCUCGCUAUGUCAAGAGCGACCCUCCGGUCCCUGCUGGUGCUGUUUCCUUUCCACCGGUCGCCAACUCCCACGGCAUGGCGACCCAUGGAAAAACAGGCUACCGGCAGCCUCGCCUCGCCUUGCAUACUGAGGCCUUGUCUCCACUACCGCGGUCCUGUCGUGAUGCUCUUGCUGAUCCUCAUUGGCGCCAGGCCAUGGAAGAUGAAUAUGCAGCUCUUCAGGACAACCACACUUGGGACCUCGUCCCCCGCCCUGCCAAGGCUAACGUUGUUACUGGAAAAUGGUUUUUCAAGCACAAGUUCCAUGCAGAUGGCUCAUUGGAGAGAUACAAGGCUCGUUGGGUACUUCGAGGAUUCACUCAACGCCCUGGUGUUGACUACGAUGAAACCUUCAGCUCGGUUGUUAAGCCGGCCACUGUUCGCACAGUCAUCACGGUGGCACACUCUAGGGAUUGGCCGAUUCAUCAACUUGAUGUGAAGAACGCUUUCCUCCAUGGGACGCUCUCAGAAAUAGUAUACUACUCUCAGCCUACUGGGUUUGCUGAUCCUACACUACCAGAUCAUGUCUGCAGACUCAACAAAUCCCUCUACGGCUUGAAGCAAGCUCCGCGGGCCUGGUACAGUCACUUUGCCUCUUUUCUGAUCUCACUGGGAUUCACUGAGGCCAAGUCAGACACUUCUCUCUUAGCAUUCAGCUGUGGCACCGAGACAGUCUACUUGCUGUUAUAUGUGGAUGACAUUGUGCUCACAGCCUCAUCUCAGCAGCUCCUGCACCAUGUCAUUGUUGCACUGAAAAAGGAGUUUGCCAUGAAGGAUCUUGGACCUCUACACCACUUUCUUGGCAUUGCAGUUCAGUGCCACAGGGAUUCUAUUCUUCUUUCACAACGUCAGUACACUCUGGACAUACUUGCUCGCCAUGGCAUGAGUAACUGCAAGCCUUGCUCCACUCCAGUUGACACUUGUGCAAAGGUACCAGCUGAUGCCGACCCAUCUGUUGCUGAUCCCACUGCUUAUCGCAGCCUUGUGGGUGCCCUCCAGUACCUCACCUUCACUCGACCUGAUAUUGCUUAUUCCGUCCAACAAGUAUGCCUUCAUAUGCAUGAUCCGCGAGAGACUCACCUUGUCGCUGCCAAGCGGAUCCUUCGCUAUCUUCAGGGCACCCUCAACCAUGGUUUGGUCAUUCCCCGAACAGCCCCAACACAGCUCCGUGUGUACACCGAUGCUGAUUGGGCCGGUUGUCCAGACACCCGCCGCUCCACCUCCGGCUACGCCGUCUUCCUCGGGGGCAGCCUGGUCUCCUGGUCAUCCAAGCGGCAGCCCACUGUCUCCCGAUCCAGUGCCGAGGCUGAAUACCGGGCUGUUGCUAACGGCGUCGCUGAAGCCACUUGGCUGCGGCAACUGCUCCAGGAACUUCACCAUCCCCUGGACUCCGCAUGCCUCAUCUACUGCGACAAUGUCAGCGCCUGCUACCUCUCCACCAACCCCGUUCAACAUCAGCGCACCAAGCAUGUGGAAAUCGAUCUCCACUUCGUCCGUGAACGUGUCGCCAUGGGUGCAGUCCGUGUCCUUCAUGCGCCCACCACGUCGCAGUUCGCCGAUGUCUUCACCAAGGGGCUCCCUUCCUCUAUCUUCAUGGAUUUUCGCUCCAGUCUAAACGUUCGCUCCACCGACGAUCAGACUGCGGGGGUUGUUAGAAUUAAUUGUUUUCUACUUUAAUUACCUAGUUACUUGUGUAAUCUCCUAGCUUUAAUCCCCUAGUUAGUUGUGCAGAGUUAAUGCUCAGCUGGCCCCUUGGGACUUGGGUGGCCCCUUAGAUGUGCAGGGUUAAUACCCAGCUGGCCCCUUGGGACUCGGCUGGCCCUUUGGGCCACCCUCCUCUCUAUUUAUAUGUAAACUCACAUGUAAUCUCGUCCUUAAGCCAUACAGAGCCUGUUUGGCUAUUGUCUAUCAUAAAUAACUACAUUGCUUUUGGGGAAGCAAAGUUACAGCAACCACGAAGGCUAUUUAGUACCUUAUCAGAUUGAUAAAUUAGAACCAUGACGGGUCUACACUUUUUUAAGGGUAUGUUUGGUUGAGUGACUUUUGCAAAAGGUGUUGUGAGAUGUUGCUUUUGUAAAAGCUGAUGUAGGAAAGUUUAAAGUCCGUUUCGUUGAACAGUUGUGGCUUUUGGACGAGCUUCUCUCACUUACGAGCAGACCCCACAUGUCAUGGAUAGCAAGCCUACAUCUUCUUCCUCAUGCCACUCACCGAGGCUAGCCGCGAUGGCCAGGGCAGGCCGCGCUUGCUGGCUGAGGCUGCCACGCCUACCGGCUUCCUCUCUAUCUCGUGCAGGAGCACGCCAUUGCUACCCGCACGAGGUCUGCUCACCUAAUUAGCGACCAUUGCCGUCCAUUCUCGUGGUUUGUCAGCACUCUGCCCAUGUGCGCUGCUUUCCCUAUUCCUUGCACUAGUCUGAGCUGAGCCAAAGGCAUCAAGCUGGUGUCGUCUCUGCUUGCUACUCAAUGCCGACCACCACACAAGAACCUCGGCGAGCUCCCUCUCCUAUUCACCUGCGCCCUAGCCGGCCACACCCUUCGCUUCUACAACCCACACCAGACCUCCCUGAGCCUUUCUUCGGCUCCCUCUGCCGCCGCACAACGCCAUCAAGUGUCAGUCGUCGGUCUGCAUGCGCCUAGGUCGCUCAAGCGCCUCGGUCCACCACCAUCGGAGGAGCUCGUUGCAGGGCUGUGACUAGAGGAGCUCCGGCGAGGAGUCUGCUCUAGCGCUACUCUUAUUGUGGUGGCAUGACAUUUCCUCACGAUGUGAAUAGAACAUAAUGGGGAAAACGAUUUGAUUACAUAACCAGUUAUAGAUGGGUAAUUUUUUUACUGAAAAGUCAGUGAGAGCUUCUUUUGUACGAUGUUCAGCUGCUUUCGGGCAAAAGCUUUUGGGCUUUUUGGUUGGUUUUUUACUUUCUUUUGGCUUUUGCAAAAGCAUAGCAUCAAGCUCAACUAAUAACGAACUGUAAAUACAAACAAUAUGUUUUUGUGCAGAAGCUAAAUAAUAAUUUUACUUAUUGAAAUGAAAAGGAGAAUUCUAAUUGAUGAACAAUAUGAUAUCCGAAUUGGAGACGGAUCUUGAACAGUACGAGUACUCAUAUUCGAACACUGGUACCUAAUCCAUCUUGAAGUGUGGUCUGACCAGGUGCGGCAUCAUGGCAUUGCACAUAGGACAAAGGACUAGUUCAUCCGAAAAGAAAGGUUUACGAAUUAAAAUGCCUUGGUAGUUAUGAAUGAAAUUGUGCCAAAACACAAAGCUCAGUGGCUAAAAUGGUCACUUUGACAGUUCUAUGAUAAAAUUGAGACCAAUUGAGUACUGAAAUGUUUAUUUAAUAGUUUAGGCCUUACAUGAUAAUUGAGAGACCAAAAUAACUAUUGCGCCAAAGCUAUGUAAUGAUGACGACGACGAUGUUGGCAUCUACUAUACGCUUCUCAACGUAGGUCAUUUUAGAUUUGUCGUGAGACCGAAUGUUUGUUCGAUUACUAUGUAUAUUAGAAAAUAAAAUGGUUUAUUCAUUUGUGAGAGUAGUAACGUAGACAAGAAAUUUGAAGAGAAAUUGUGAAAGAAAUCAUAAAACAAACCUAUAUCUGAAACAAUAAUUUAUAUUUGGUGAUUUGGAAUCAAAUUUAAAAAUAAGAGAAGCACGAGCAAACACACCCACAGCAUGGCCACGAUAGCAAAAAAAUUUACACCUUUGGAUGGACAUCACGCGAUGCCCAAUGGGCUUCCUAUGCUUGGCACGAUGAAAAAUAUCUAUCGAUUUCUUUCUCCCAAUGUAGUCUCACACCCCCAUCACUCUCUCCUUGCUCUCUCUCUCUCUCUCCCCCUCUCCCGACACAGAGCAAGGAUAUCCACAAAGUGGAAUGGGCAACCAGGGCAAGGACAGCCGGCGUAGCGGCAAGGCCGUGCGAGUGGGCCUUGGCCUAGGGUGUGAGCGCGGCACUGGGUGGCAGGCGAGGGCGAGCAAGCUCCUAGCUGGUUGCAGCUCGACCACCACUAUUCCCUUGGUUGGCUGUAGGCCCCUCUACUCAGUCGCUACAAUCGUUGCUAGCCUUGGACAUGGCCCACACAUGCUUAGCCCCAGUUGGCCGCCUGUUGUGGGUUUGUCACUGUGGCAAGCGUGUGGGUCUCCAGUGGCUCGAUUACUCAAGAACACAUGAAAAGGUACGAUGAUGUAUCCUGGUUCGGGCUACUGAGGCCCUACGUCCAUUAAAGAACAACUAAAUUAAGGUUACAGCAAAGGAGGAGAGUUUGAUAGAAUCUAUCGGUGCUAUCCUAUGGUAAUCGUACGGCUAAUCGGCUAUGAGGUUUUUCCCAUGCCCUCGCGCCGACAUCCCUAGUCCUUUCCUACAAUGGUGAGUUUAGCCGAUUCAUCAUCAAAGGCAAAUGCAAAAUCCACGAUCCGGCAAUAGACAUGCAACAGCGCUCGACGGCAGCGUCAGCGGCCUGUGCCUCCCUGAUGGUCGUGGUGUCGGCGAGGUGGAUCCGACUGUGACGCUAGACCAGGUCCCUGUUGCACCUGGAGACGUGCUGUGAAGGAGAAGGCCAGCAGAUGGAAGACAUGAGCAUCAAGUGAUGGCGUAGUUAUCAUUUAUGUUUCUAUGUAAUUGAACUUCUGUCUUGUGGACCCAUGAGGUCAGCAUUUGUAAUGCACAUAAGUGCCUAAGCUUGUGCCAGAUACGGCAACAACUCUCAUAUUGCCCUGACGCCAUCCUCGUUCAUAUCCCCUUCUCGUGCUCACGUCGAUAGCGACCUCGCCGGUGACCAAGGGUGUGACAAGUGAUAUCAGAUUCAUCUAUCCUCAGCAUGGGUGUUAAGCUUCAUCGCUCUUCAACACUGCCACUUACCCAGACGUCGCGUAGCAUCUUCGAUGGCUUCCAAGUGACGGAUCCAACCACCUGCUUCCUUUUCCACCUCUGAUCCAUGUUGAUCCACUACUCUUCCACCCCUUAACCAUCCUUGGGUUUCCAUUUGGUCGGUUUGUGUUGAUCGUGGUCAUAAUUUUGAUGGAUAGGCUCUUCUUGGGUCACGCUUGCAAGGUGUUCUACCAGAGAAUCUAGAGGUCCCUCCUUUGGUUGAUUAGGUCCGCAGACGAUUUCAAUGGCACCUUCCACUAGAUCCAUCAACACAAACCCACCAUAAACAUAGAUCUGUCACCAUCUUCGGCAAAACAAUUCACCUAGGGGACUACAUUGACAACUGGUUGGUGGCGAUAACCAAGGGAACAACUCAAUUUAGCUCCUUCGUACAUCUCUAGCAUAGUUGGUUCAGCAACAAGGGUUGUGAGAUGCUUGUUCUCACAUAAAAUUCCAUAGUUGUGUUCUCAAUCCGGUGCGAUGGCGUUGGCAAGAGAGUGUCCUUGAGCUUGGGUUGCGAGGCAGUGUUCUCGUGUAAAAUUCCAAGGCUUAGGCUCACUCUCAGGUGGCAGCGUUGGUGACAAGCAACAUUUGGGAAGGGGCAACCUUAACUAGUUGUUUGAUUCACCUGUUGGGUUUAGAUUUUGUCCAUCAGUCAUCAUGGCUCCACCCAAACCUUCGAAGCAGACUCAAAUUCUACUAGACACCAUGUCCAAGAGUGCGCAUGAGGAGAAGACCUUCAAACAUGAGGUGAUGGACCACCUCAAACUGAUGUUUUCUAGAAUUAGUGAUGUUGGGGAGGUUCAACAGCAGAUGAAGGCACAGAUGGAUAUUCACGGGGCAGCGAUCUAUAAUUAUUCUGCUGAACAACACAUGAUCGCUCAGCAAGUGAAGGCUAAUAGGGCAACGAUGGCACAACUGACCAUGCGCCAAUUUGAGCAUGAGUCCAUCUAUGAUGAUGCUGAGAAUGAUGAUGCUCCAUCACAUUUGAGGAGAAAGACUCAUUUCACAAUGUAUUUGCCAAGCACAAAGAGCUAUCAAAUUUGAGCCAUCCAAGACUAAAAGACCUCCACCUAAGAAAGAAAGAAAGGUGGUAGAGGACAGAUAAAUUUCCAAGUGAGGCUAUGGCCAAGAUGCAGUUUCUCAAGUUUGAUGGCACUGACAACAAGAUAUGGCAAGAUAAUUGCAACAGCUAUUUCAAGCUUUACCAGUUGCCUGGGGGUAUGUGGAUUAAUACAACACAUUUGCAUUUUGAAGGCAAUGCAGCCAACUGGUACCAAGCUUACAAAUAGAACCAUACUUUCAAGAACUAGGACCAUUUUUGCUCGAUGGUGGAGGAAGAGUUUGGAGCGGAUGACUUCAGAACAACAAUGAAUGAGCUGCUAGACCUCAAGCAACCCGGAACUAUAUAAGACUACACUACAAAAUUCCAAGCUCUCUAGUUUACUAUCACUAUGCACAACAGUCACUUUGAUGACUUGUUUUUCACACUACAGUAUAUCAGAGGAUUGAAAGAGGAAAUCAGAGGCACUGUGGAACCACAAAUGCCUUCAACAGUGCAGAAAGCUUCCACUAUUGCCAACAUUCAGUAGGGAGUUCUAGCUCGAAGUAGGGCCAAAUAUGCUAGACACAAUAACAAUUCCAGGCCAUAUAACCCACCCGAUCUUGAAGGCAAACCAACCCAACCCCAAACCACAAUGUGGAGAGAUAGACAAUUGUGGGAUUAUCGAAAGGCAAAUGGUCUAUGUUUUAACUAUGGCGAUAAAAUUGUUCCAGGUCAUCUAGAGGUCUGCAUUAAAAGGAAAAGGCCUCAAGCUAAUGCUAUCAUCAUCAAUGAUUUGGAUAGAGAGUUGUCAGAUGAAGUUCUGAAUGAAAUGGCAGCAGAAGACGCUCUACAAGAAGAAUUUGGCCAGUUAUCUCUCAAUGCAUUAUCUAGUGCUGACAACAACAGAUGCAUCAAGUUGAAAGCAAGAGUUAAGGACAAAGUCAUGCUCAUUCUUAUCGACAGUGGCAGUUCCCAUAGUUUUAUAAGCUCUCAUUUUACCAACUUGACUCAACUGCCUACUGUGUCCACCAAAGCUAGAAAGGUAAAAUUAGCCAAUGGGGAAUGGCUCAUGAUAGAUCAGACAGUCUCUCAACUACCAUGGUACUAUCAGGGGCACACUAUGUCAAUUGAUAUGAUAGUAAUGGACAUGCACCCUAUGAUGCCAUUUUGGGUUUUGACUGGUUACAGGCACACAAUCCUAUGCAAUGUGACUGGGGACAUAAAACACUAGAGUACACUGCAGCAGGGCAACAGGUGAAGCUUUAGGGAAUACAUGACCCUCCUAUGUAACUUGUAGGAUCUCCUGGAAGGUAAAGGAGGCAUAGAGGGGGGGUGAAUAGGCCUCAUUUGUGGAACAUACUUUUUGCUAUACAAAUUUUAAAAUAGCUUCCACACAACAAGAAUAGCAAGCUCCUAGAAUUAUGUUAGAGCAUCUCCAAAAGACUAGGUAAAAUUAUAUUCUAAACUACAAGAUUUAGCCAUUGCGUAAAAUAAAAAAUUUAUUCAAAGCAUAGAGUUCUUUGUCUGAUUUUAUCAACCUCUUCGACUCAAGUCUUGGUUAAUGGUGAGCCGGGUGCGUCUAUUUUUCAUCGGCGCGGCCUCCGUCAGGGUGACCCCCUCUCCCCCAUGCUCUUUAUACUGGUCAUGAAUGUUCUGAACUAUUUGGUGGAAUAUGCAACUAGAGAGCAAUUGCUCCAGCCUCUUGCGGUGCAACAUGCUAGACAUCGAAUCUCCUUCUAUGCAGAUGAUGUUGUGGUUUUCUUGCGACCAUGUAGGUUGGACCUACAGGUUAUCAGGACUAUCCUAGAUCUGUUUGGUCAUGCUUCGGGUCUGCAUACUAAUUUAAUCAAGAGCUCAAUCUCUCCAAUCCACUGCUCUACAGAGGAUCUGCAGCUUACAGCAGAAAUUCUGAAUUGCUCAGUCAGGGAUUUCCCCUGCACAUAUCUUGGGCUUCCCCUUUCUAUACACAAACCCUCCAAAGAGGUGCUGCUGCCUCUAGUUGAUAAAGUGGCUGAUCUUCUCCCAGGAUGGAAGGCACAGCUAAUGAAUAGGGCUGGUCGCUUGAUUAUGGUGCGGGUGGUCAUGACAGCCACCCCCAUUUAUCUAAUGAUUGCCUUUGAUCUCCCUAAAUGGGUAAUCAAGGCAGUGGAUAAAAGGAGGAGAGGUUUUUUAUGGAAAGGGCAGGAACAGGCAAAUGGAGGCAACUUUUUAGUUUCAUGGGAAAGGGUUCAGCGCCCGCUUGAGUACGGUGGAUUGGGUAUCCAUAAUUUAGAAAAGCUUGGCUGGGCCCUAAGGAUCCGGUGGCUCUGGGCCCAAAAAACAGAUCCCUCAAGACCUUGGGCUGGUUUUCAUGUUCAAAUUCCUCAGUGUGCAGAAGCAAUGUUUCACCUAGCAGUUGACUGUAUUGUAGGUAAUGGAGAAUCAAUUUUAUUCUGGAAGGACAGGUGGCUGAAUGGAAGUACCAUUAGCGAUCUUGCCCCAAAUUUGGUCAAAGCUAUUCCCAAGAGAUCUCUCAACAGAAGGACAGUUGCUGAGGCUCUAACUAAUCAGAGGUGGGUGGCUGAUAUCAAGGGGGCACGCACUGUCCAAGUCUUUGAAGAAUAUUUCCAUAUUUGGGAUCUAGUAGAGGGCUUGACCUUGCAGCAGGAUGUACCUGAUCAGUUUAGAUGGAAAUUAACUCAGUCAGGUGCUUACUCCAGCAAAUCGGCUUAUGCGGCUUUCUUUGUUGGGACCAUCAAAUUUGCACCAUGGAAAAAGAUUUGGAAGAGUUGGGCUCCACUACGGUGCAAGUUCUUUAUUUGGUUAGCUAUCAACAAUCGAUGUUGGACGGCAGACCGACUUGCUAAAAGAGGCUUGCCCCAUUCCGAGGUUUGUCCUUUCUGUGAUCAAGAGGAAGAAACCAUAGAGCACAUCCUUGUGGGGUGUGUAUUCACCAGGCAGAUAUGGUUUUCAAUUCUUCAAGCUCUUCACUUACCUGCUCUUGUGCCCUCAACUUCGGACACCAAUUCUCUAGCUGGUGGAGGAAAAGUCUUCGGCUCGUUCCAAAGGAAUUGCAAAAGGGGGUCAAUUCUUUAGUUAUCCUAGUAGCUUGGGAAACUUGGAAACACAGAAACUCUUGUAUUUUCGAGCAUGCUAGGCCUAGCAUUCCGGACCUGCUCCGGGUGAUAGCUGAUGGCUGCAGUUUUUGGGGGCUGGCUGGAGCUUCUAAGCUCCAAGAGCUUCUUGCUCGGUCGCUGUCCCUAGCCGCUUAGGUGGUGUCUAGGUUGACCAGGGGUUUUAGUUGUUGCCUUGUCUCCUGUUAGAAGUGUGUGUGUGUGUGUGUGUGUGAGUGGAGUUUUUUUGUACUUGGACCAGUGCCUACCGGUUUUUCCGUCUUCUUAAUGAAAUGACACGCAGCUCUCCUGCGUUGUUCGAGAAAAAAAAGAGUUUCACAACAGCCUUUGUAUAGGAUAGCUAGUGAGGACGACAUCCUUUGUAUAGGAUCUGCCUGCCAGGUGUAUGUGAUUUUAUUUGAUUGGUGACUUAAGAGGUUGCGGCAAAUUACAUACCACCGAUGGCUCAGUAGUGUUCGCCAACAACAUUGUAAUGCUGAAUAGCUCCUUUAGGUGAUAUACAUGAGUCCCCAUCCCCACAGACAAAGGUCCUGGUAGUAUUGCUCAUUUGAAAUAGUAUGAAUUUUGGGCACUUUUUUACAACUUGCCAGUGAACAUCUUAAUUGUUAUGGUUAGCUAGCUUGGCCCAUUCGUAUUUACCAAAUUUUUUGCAUGAAUCUCAGCAAUAUGGUCGAUGGCAUUGCCUUGUGCGGGGUAUAAGCAGGUGAGUGCAACACUAUCCUAAUGAUUUGUAUCAUGCAAGUUUAUUAAUCAUGCAGGUUUAUUCUAAUUUUGGCAGUUCAUGGCCUCAUGGGUAUGACAUAAGAGUAGUGUCCCAUCCUGUGUUUUUGCGCUGUUUAUUCACAAGGGGAUCAAAAUAAUGCAGGUUCCUCAUGCCAAUUGUUUCCCCUCUUACAGGCUUAUGAGUGUUUUUGCAAAUGCCUGUCAUUUGUACAAACUAAAUUCAAGGCCAGAACAUUUUGUUUGUGUAGUCCCCCUGUCCGUGUUGUUGCUGGACGUUCCCUUUGUUGCACUGCUGCUGCUGCUAGGGGAGAGAAGUAAGGAGGAUAAGAGAUGAAAAACCAGGGCAGAAGAUAGAGGAGCGAGGAGGGGUCCCACUGGGUUCCUUCAUUGUGGUGCUGCAGGUUAAGAAUCCAUGCCAUAAGGCUAUAAGCUCAUUUUCCAACAAAGAAAGGCCUCUUCCCCCCCCCCCCCCCGAUAUAAUCAUCUGAUCAGAAAGGAAAUUACUUGUACAAAGGCUUAUGCAUGCACCCAAUUAUGAAGUUAGCUAAGCUGAGGAAAUUGCUUGUUUCGUAUCCCUAGCUUUAUCACAUUUUUCAGUUCUUGAGAGCCUGCUUUCUUUAUGACUGCUGCUUGUCCUGAAUUGUUUUUCUACUCUAAAUUCACUGCCAAUAUUCUCAGCUGUUUAACUUAUAUGUUCUCUUACACUAGUAAAUUAUAGUGCCAUAGUGGAACUACCAAAGGUUCAUGUAUUUGUUACUGCCCAGAUUAGUCUAUAACUUGUUCAAGUAUGCCUAUUAUGCUGCCAGAUAAUUGGUUAUUGGUCAAGCAGUGUGAGCCAUUUUAUUUUUUUCAGAGAACUGUCCUAAAGUUGCAAUUUGUAUUGAACCAACUACAUGGUGCAGUUAUCAGAGCACAACAGAGGUUAGUGAUUACACUAUUCAAAUUCCUUCAUGAUUUGGUAUAUACAAGGUUGCUUGAGUUAACUGUAGCGGUGCAUGUUCAAUUCUAUCUCCAAGUCUCCAAAGAGGUAUAGGUAUCUGAAAUAGGAAAGAGUGAUAUGUCGAUUGGAAAAUAGGGUAGCAUGCAAAUCAAAUAUUGAGUUGCACAUUAUGAAACCGUUAUUUUUUAAGCCUGAGUGAUUUACAGUUGAGAUAUCUGAUUCUUCUGCAAGCUAAUAAAUCUCUUGGACUUUGGGAGUUGGGAAACAAAUUACACGAAUGAUUUACGAGAGAAUAAUAUUCUACUUGAAUUUACUGUCACAACAUCAUAUACCCUGUCUAUAUUCCCAGUCUAGGCACUUAAAGCAACUACAAACUUUGUGGUUGUAUUUCUCUAUUUUUUUAGAGAUGAACAUUAUGUUGAUGUUUUACAUCUUUUGUUAACAACCUGGUAUCCAUAUAGUGGCAUAUGGAUAUUUAUUUGUUUGAUUAACAGCUGAUCCAAGCCUUGCUAUAGUUGGAUUUUGUAGCUCUUGUAUUAUUUAUUUUAGGGUCCUUUCUGAAUUAGCAACUAGGCCUGUAAAUUGCGAGCAGGGAAAGAAUUUGUUUGUAUGGAACCUGAUCAUGUCGAGAGGUGAAAUGGAUCGGUUCAAAUGAAAGGUUAUAAGACACCUCAGAUGCCAGAUAUUUGAACAAUUUUUGACCGAAACAGAUAUUUGAAUAAUUUGAACAAUUAUUGCAUGGCAUAUCUAGAUAAUGUUCCGAAGUCAUUUUUCCAUAUGCCUUAAACAAUGAAUCAGUGCAUGGCAUUGAUUUGGAUCAUGGCAAUGCACGGAAUAGACCAUGGUUCCUCAGCGUGACAGUAUACCUAUUGCACCAAACGAAUGAUUAGUGUCCUAAAAAUACUGAAGUAUUAUCAUUUGCCUUCUUAUAAAAAGAAAUGGCACAUCAUAUUGUAGCUUAGUAUAAGGAAACAGCACCUGGCAGAUGUCACAGUUGUACCUUUAGAUUUGUUCUUAAUAACUUUUGCAGAGCAGCUUUUCUCCUAUUCGUCAAUCAUUUGUGUUUUCAGUAGUUAGCAUUGGGAAUUAGAAGGCCUUUCUUCAGAGAGGCUGCAGUGCUUGUUGAUACUAUUACGUUAUGAUGUGUACUUCCAGCCAUUAAGCUAAGCUUAAGUAUGUGGUGCUUAAAUGUAUUAAAUAUAGUCACUGUCAAGGAGCAUAUUGAUAUUAUUAUCUAUACCUUGCUCCCCCAAAAAAAAAAUCAGAGUUACUUCAAAUAUUACAAUUUAGGAUCUUUGUAUAUUUGGGUCUUGAGUUGACAAUCUUUUGAUGGAUAAUUCAUUUUACAGAAGAGGCAGAACGAUAUCCUAAUGAUUUGCAACAUAGUCAAAUUGUUCUUUAACUGUCACUAUUUGAUAAUUAAGAGCAACAGUGUAACCCAGCUUUGUUCUUUAUGUAGGUUCAAGCUGUUGAUGCGAACCCUUCAUGAGUUCGGAUCUCGCAUGGCAAAUUCAAAAUUCCCAACAAGCCAAAGCUGGCCUCCAUUGUUACUACACCUGAGAAUGAAGGGGGGAGGCAUUUAACAUGCGGUGUCGCGACAUGCCAGUUGCAACGUGCCAGUUGUUUGUGAAAGAAUUCUCUUGCCUUGGAGUGGAUUGAAGUGCAGGAGGUCUCCAAUGUAGUACUUCGGUUUGUUCAGGUGAGCAUUUUUCUUGUGCGGAUGAUACCAUUGAGAGGAGUUAUAGCUGAGAAAGGGAGAAACCAUGAUCCAAUUGUAGCUGUGUGAGGACAAUGUUGCUUACUUAGAAAAUUUGAUCUAUGAUAUGUAUGUUGGCACUGCUAUAUAUGUUUAUGCACAGAUCCUUGGCUACUCAGAAUUGUUUGCCUGCAUUCUGAUAUUUGAACAUCAGAUAGUUGGACAGUUAAGAUGAGGUUUUCUUAUAUCAACAAUUUGUUUGGAAGUUUUGGUAUAGUAGUGGGACUCGCAAAUUCAAUUUGUUGGUUUUGACUUGUGAAGGUGACAAUUUACAACAUACUGAUUUUGCAAACAUCACACAAGAAUAAUCAUUGUUGAUAAUAGUAUAACACACAUCCAAACUUUGUUAUUGUGACAUUAUUUCAACACGCAUGAUCCGAGUCAACCAAAGAAACAUGAAAGGAAAGACCAGGUUUUAAUGAUUCUUUCUCAUGUACUUGCAAUCUUCUAGUACUGAUGUACACGUAUCAAAAUAGUACGUAUAUGUUUAAGUCAAAUAUACACGUAUCAAAAUAGUACGUAUAUGCUUUAAGUCAACAGCAACACACGAGGUAUUUCCUUGCCUUCAACUAAUCCUUUGCAAGGAGCUACAAGCUUACAAAAUUUACUAGUAGGUGUGUGAAAUAUUCUUUAAAUACUACGCCAUCAUCCUCCCAAAAAAGCAGCAAUAACUGCUAGUAUAACUUUAACUAAUCAAAGAAUCCAUAGAUUUGGCGGACUCUCCCAAUAUACACAGUCAAAUUUACUUGCACGACCCAACGAAUGCAAAAUCCCUUGUCCAGGAGGUGAUUUUCCCAGCUCCUAUCGUCAUUAUCUCUUCUGGAAGUUGAACUUCAUGAUGGCAAAGCCAAAUAGGGCCGCAAAGAGCACAGCGAAUGCUACCACCACGGCUGCCACCCACCCCAACCAGCUGUGCUUGAAGCCGAAGUAGUCCUCAACGUACUGUGACACCACCACAGUCCUGUUGUUGUCGUCCAUCUCUGUCAUGAUGUCACCGAACUGUGACACCACCAGCCCGUACAGCGUCCAUGCCACGGGGCAUAUCCAACAGUACCACCUCCACCAGAUCGGUGUUUUCUGAAGGUAGCGGGAGGCAAGAACAGGAAUGAGCUUUGCUGCUUUGGAAAUGGUAGACAAAAGUUGCAGGGGGCAUGAUGAGGUCUUACCGGUCGGGGGAUGAUGAACCCAGAGAAGAGGUUCCAGAUGGCAUAGAAUGCCGAGGAGACGAUCGAGGCGAUGUGAUAGUUAGGUGUUAGCCCAACAGCCAUCAUGCCAUAGAAUGUGAAGUAGAGCAGCGUGAAGUACCCAAAGAAGAGGUACCAAAAGAACUUGGCAGCCGUCCACUCAAACCCGAUCAUGGCGUACACUAUGACACCAUAUAGAAUAUCCUGAACCAGUGCGUAUGGGAGCUCAAUGACAACCUGCGUGGAGACAAAUUGAUCAGACCAGUGCCCUGCUCUCUAGAACAUGGGCCAACAGGCAACAAGCAGCAGAAAAAGCAGCGUGUGAAAUUGAUCUCCAGGAGGAACAUUCACCUGGCCAAAUGCAUAUGGGAAAGCUGAGUACAUGCCAGCAGCUCUUUCACGGUAAAAGACUGUCCGCUCCACAGCCACCACUGGCUGAACUGAGGUACAAUUCAUGACCCCGAUGAAAAUCACUGCAGCGUACAUUGAUCCCAAGGCAUUCAUCAAAUCUUGUGAUGUAGACCUGGAUUAUGAAGCAAAACGUGAAUAAAAAACUGAAGGUCAAGCCACUUGUUUGCCAUAAGCAAUGGUACAACUGGGAAUGACUUACACUUUGCCACCUAGGUCCCAAAAGAUGGUGCCAAGGAGGAGAGCAAUGAUGGUAGUGAAAAAGAACCUAACAGUAUUGUAAGGAGGAUUCCUCCAGUAUGACAGGUUCUGUUUCCACAGGCAAGCCACACAUUGUGUGAUGGAAGACUGUGCGUACGUGCUAGCGAAAUGCAGGUCACUUGAACCUGGCACCGGAUGGCUUAAUUCCUUUAUCAACGCCUUGUUCCUCCUGUAAAAUAUAACAAGCAACACAUCAUCUACUGCAGAAAUUCCAUGGAGAAGGAGGGUUGGUUAAUACUGAAAAGUGCAAAGUGCAUUGGUAUGUACCAACCGGUAGUACCCCGUUUAUGGUUAUUCUCAAAGAUGAAGUAAGUGACUAGUAGGGAUUGUAAUUUACUUACUGGUAGAGUUCAGAUUUCUUGUAUAUGUCACUGAAAUCAACACCUAGAAUCUGUUCCUGAGAAGUUGUGGUCACUUCCAGCAUCCAUGUUGCUGGAUUGUAGCCAUCUUUAAUUUUGCUGACCCCUUGGAUCCCCUGGAUAAUAUGAAACCACAUGAUAUUCUCAGUAAUUUUGAAGAAAAUUCGUGUAUGGAUAGUCAGAUUUCUCUAAUAUCAUUUACCUCAAAAUACUUGAUAAGAUCUGAAGAAUGAUGUCCAAGUGGACCAGCAUAGAUCUCUUCUCCACCACGCUUCAUAAGGAAAAGCUGCAUGCAUUGAUCAAACAUUUUAGACUUUGCAAGUUGCAACAUAGUUCAAGGUUUGGAAAAACCAACCACAUCAAAACAAGUAUGACCAAACGCUGACCAGAAAGUAGAGGGUAGAUGGAAGUAAAUCCUAUGUGAAAUCUCACUCACCUCGUCAAAUGCUUCAAAUAUGUCAAUGCUAGGCUGAUGUAUUGUGCAGACCACAGUUCUACCAGUAUCAACGGUGUUCCUCACCGUCCGCAUCACAAUUGCAGCUGCUCGGGCAUCAAGCCCUGAGGUUGGCUCAUCCAUAAAGAUGAUCGAUGGAUUUGCAACAAGUUCCACAGCAAUGGUAAGCCUUUUCCUCUGCUCAGUUGACAGACCAUUCACUCCAGGAAGUCCAACCAAAGCAUUUCUCAGUGGUUUGAGCUCCACAAGCUCCAUCACCUCCUCAAUGAAGAUCUGCACAUAUAAUGGUGAGCAACUAUCUACCAAGUGUAUCUUUCCACGGGUGGAAAUUGCAACUAUUUUGUGGAACUAACCUUUCUUGUGUUUGAAUCGACAUCCUUGGGAAGCCGGAGCCAUGCUGAGAAAAGCAAGGACUCAUAGACCGUCACCUGUGGCGAGUGGAUAUCAUUCUGUUCACAGUAUCCUGAUACACGUGCAAAGGUCUCUUGUUUCUUUGGGUAUCCUGAAAUGCAGAUGUCUCCUUCAAUGUACCCGCCUGUCUUUCUCCCAGCUAACACAUCCAUCAAAGUAGUUUUUCCUGCACCACUGACGCCCAUCAGUGCUGUCAGCACACCAGGCCUAAAAGACCCACUGACACCUUUGAGGAGCUCCAAACGAUCUUCUUGUACACCUUGUGCUUUCAUUUCCUGAAUUUAAUUUCAUGACCAAGGUUACAGAAUAGUGAUGAAAUUGUAUUUGUUGUGUAAGAGAUCAACUUUCUAUAUUUCACCUGUGGCAUGUCAACAGAGUAGUUGAUAAAGUGGCUGAUCUUCUCCCAGGAUGGAAGGCACAGCUAAUGAAUAGGGCUGGUCGCUUGAUUAUGGUGCGGGUGGUCAUGACAGCCACCCCCAUUUAUCUAAUGAUUGCCUUUGAUCUCCCUAAAUGGGUAAUCAAGGCAGUGGAUAAAAGGAGGAGAGGUUUUUUAUGGAAAGGGCAGGAACAGGCAAAUGGAGGCAACUUUUUAGUUUCAUGGGAAAGGGUUCAGCGCCCGCUUGAGUACGGUGGAUUGGGUAUCCAUAAUUUAGAAAAGCUUGGCUGGGCCCUAAGGAUCCGGUGGCUCUGGGCCCAAAAAACAGAUCCCUCAAGACCUUGGGCUGGUUUUCAUGUUCAAAUUCCUCAGUGUGCAGAAGCAAUGUUUCACCUAGCAGUUGACUGUAUUGUAGGUAAUGGAGAAUCAAUUUUAUUCUGGAAGGACAGGUGGCUGAAUGGAAGUACCAUUAGCGAUCUUGCCCCAAAUUUGGUCAAAGCUAUUCCCAAGAGAUCUCUCAACAGAAGGACAGUUGCUGAGGCUCUAACUAAUCAGAGGUGGGUGGCUGAUAUCAAGGGGGCACGCACUGUCCAAGUCUUUGAAGAAUAUUUCCAUAUUUGGGAUCUAGUAGAGGGCUUGACCUUGCAGCAGGAUGUACCUGAUCAGUUUAGAUGGAAAUUAACUCAGUCAGGUGCUUACUCCAGCAAAUCGGCUUAUGCGGCUUUCUUUGUUGGGACCAUCAAAUUUGCACCAUGGAAAAAGAUUUGGAAGAGUUGGGCUCCACUACGGUGCAAGUUCUUUAUUUGGUUAGCUAUCAACAAUCGAUGUUGGACGGCAGACCGACUUGCUAAAAGAGGCUUGCCCCAUUCCGAGGUUUGUCCUUUCUGUGAUCAAGAGGAAGAAACCAUAGAGCACAUCCUUGUGGGGUGUGUAUUCACCAGGCAGAUAUGGUUUUCAAUUCUUCAAGCUCUUCACUUACCUGCUCUUGUGCCCUCAACUUCGGACACCAAUUCUCUAGCUGGUGGAGGAAAAGUCUUCGGCUCGUUCCAAAGGAAUUGCAAAAGGGGGUCAAUUCUUUAGUUAUCCUAGUAGCUUGGGAAACUUGGAAACACAGAAACUCUUGUAUUUUCGAGCAUGCUAGGCCUAGCAUUCCGGACCUGCUCCGGGUGAUAGCUGAUGGCUGCAGUUUUUGGGGGCUGGCUGGAGCUUCUAAGCUCCAAGAGCUUCUUGCUCGGUCGCUGUCCCUAGCCGCUUAGGUGGUGUCUAGGUUGACCAGGGGUUUUAGUUGUUGCCUUGUCUCCUGUUAGAAGUGUGUGUGUGUGUGUGUGUGAGUGGAGUUUUUUUGUACUUGGACCAGUGCCUACCGGUUUUUCCGUCUUCUUAAUGAAAUGACACGCAGCUCUCCUGCGUUGUUCGAGAAAAAAAAAAGAGUUUCACAACAGCCUUUGUAUAGGAUAGCUAGUGAGGACGACAUCCUUUGUAUAGGAUCUGCCUGCCAGGUGUAUGUGAUUUUAUUUGAUUGGUGACUUAAGAGGUUGCGGCAAAUUACAUACCACCGAUGGCUCAGUAGUGUUCGCCAACAACAUUGUAAUGCUGAAUAGCUCCUUUAGGUGAUAUACAUGAGUCCCCAUCCCCACAGACAAAGGUCCUGGUAGUAUUGCUCAUUUGAAAUAGUAUGAAUUUUGGGCACUUUUUUACAACUUGCCAGUGAACAUCUUAAUUGUUAUGGUUAGCUAGCUUGGCCCAUUCGUAUUUACCAAAUUUUUUGCAUGAAUCUCAGCAAUAUGGUCGAUGGCAUUGCCUUGUGCGGGGUAUAAGCAGGUGAGUGCAACACUAUCCUAAUGAUUUGUAUCAUGCAAGUUUAUUAAUCAUGCAGGUUUAUUCUAAUUUUGGCAGUUCAUGGCCUCAUGGGUAUGACAUAAGAGUAGUGUCCCAUCCUGUGUUUUUGCGCUGUUUAUUCACAAGGGGAUCAAAAUAAUGCAGGUUCCUCAUGCCAAUUGUUUCCCCUCUUACAGGCUUAUGAGUGUUUUUGCAAAUGCCUGUCAUUUGUACAAACUAAAUUCAAGGCCAGAACAUUUUGUUUGUGUAGUCCCCCUGUCCGUGUUGUUGCUGGACGUUCCCUUUGUUGCACUGCUGCUGCUGCUAGGGGAGAGAAGUAAGGAGGAUAAGAGAUGAAAAACCAGGGCAGAAGAUAGAGGAGCGAGGAGGGGUCCCACUGGGUUCCUUCAUUGUGGUGCUGCAGGUUAAGAAUCCAUGCCAUAAGGCUAUAAGCUCAUUUUCCAACAAAGAAAGGCCUCUUCCCCCCCCCCCCCCCCCGAUAUAAUCAUCUGAUCAGAAAGGAAAUUACUUGUACAAAGGCUUAUGCAUGCACCCAAUUAUGAAGUUAGCUAAGCUGAGGAAAUUGCUUGUUUCGUAUCCCUAGCUUUAUCACAUUUUUCAGUUCUUGAGAGCCUGCUUUCUUUAUGACUGCUGCUUGUCCUGAAUUGUUUUUCUACUCUAAAUUCACUGCCAAUAUUCUCAGCUGUUUAACUUAUAUGUUCUCUUACACUAGUAAAUUAUAGUGCCAUAGUGGAACUACCAAAGGUUCAUGUAUUUGUUACUGCCCAGAUUAGUCUAUAACUUGUUCAAGUAUGCCUAUUAUGCUGCCAGAUAAUUGGUUAUUGGUCAAGCAGUGUGAGCCAUUUUAUUUUUUUCAGAGAACUGUCCUAAAGUUGCAAUUUGUAUUGAACCAACUACAUGGUGCAGUUAUCAGAGCACAACAGAGGUUAGUGAUUACACUAUUCAAAUUCCUUCAUGAUUUGGUAUAUACAAGGUUGCUUGAGUUAACUGUAGCGGUGCAUGUUCAAUUCUAUCUCCAAGUCUCCAAAGAGGUAUAGGUGUCUGAAAUAGGAAAGAGUGAUAUGUCGAUUGGAAAAUAGGGUAGCAUGCAAAUCAAAUAUUGAGUUGCACAUUAUGAAACCGUUAUUUUUUAAGCCUGAGUGAUUUACAGUUGAGAUAUCUGAUUCUUCUGCAAGCUAAUAAAUCUCUUGGACUUUGGGAGUUGGGAAACAAAUUACACGAAUGAUUUACGAGAGAAUAAUAUUCUACUUGAAUUUACUGUCACAACAUCAUAUACCCUGUCUAUAUUCCCAGUCUAGGCACUUAAAGCAACUACAAACUUUGUGGUUGUAUUUCUCUAUUUUUUUAGAGAUGAACAUUAUGUUGAUGUUUUACAUCUUUUGUUAACAACCUGGUAUCCAUAUAGUGGCAUAUGGAUAUUUAUUUGUUUGAUUAACAGCUGAUCCAAGCCUUGCUAUAGUUGGAUUUUGUAGCUCUUGUAUUAUUUAUUUUAGGGUCCUUUCUGAAUUAGCAACUAGGCCUGUAAAUUGCGAGCAGGGAAAGAAUUUGUUUGUAUGGAACCUGGUCAUGUCGAGAGGUGAAAUGGAUCGGUUCAAAUGAAAGGUUAUAAGACACCUCAGAUGCCAGAUAUUUGAACAAUUUUUGACUGAAACAGAUAUUUGAAUAAUUUGAACAAUUAUUGCAUGGCAUAUCUAGAUAAUUUUCCGAAGUCAUUUUUCCAUAUGCCUUAAACAAUGAAUCAGUGCAUGGCAUUGAUUUGGAUCAUGGCAAUGCACGGAAUAGACCAUGGUUCCUCAGCGUGACAGUAUACCUAUUGCACCAAACGAAUGAUUAGUGUCCUAAAAAUACUGAAGUAUUAUCAUUUGCCUUCUUAUAAAAAGAAAUGGCACAUCAUAUUGUAGCUUAGUAUAAGGAAACAGCACCUGGCAGAUGUCACAGUUGUACCUUUAGAUUUGUUCUUAAUAACUUUUGCAGAGCAGCUUUUCUCCUAUUCGUCAAUCAUUUGUGUUUUCAGUAGUUAGCAUUGGGAAUUAGAAGGCCUUUCUUCAGAGAGGCUGCAGUGCUUGUUGAUACUAUUACGUUAUGAUGUGUACUUCCAGCCAUUAAGCUAAGCUUAAGUAUGUGGUGCUUAAAUGUAUUAAAUAUAGUCACUGUCAAGGAGCAUAUUGAUAUUAUUAUCUAUACCUUGCUCCCCCAAAAAAAAAAUCAGAGUUACUUCAAAUAUUACAAUUUAGGAUCUUUGUAUAUUUGGGUCUUGAGUUGACAAUCUUUUGAUGGAUAAUUCAUUUUACAGAAGAGGCAGAACGAUAUCCUAAUGAUUUGCAACAUAGUCAAAUUGUUCUUUAACUGUCACUAUUUGAUAAUUAAGAGCAACAGUGUAACCCAGCUUUGUUCUUUAUGUAGGUUCAAGCUGUUGAUGCGAACCCUUCAUGAGUUCGGAUCUCGCAUGGCAAAUUCAAAAUUCCCAACAAGCCAAAGCUGGCCUCCAUUGUUACUACACCUGAGAAUGAAGGGGGGAGGCAUUUAACAUGCGGUGUCGCGAAAUGCCAGUUGCAACGUGCCAGUUGUUUGUGAAAGAAUUCUCUUGCCUUGGAGUGGAUUGAAGUGCAGGAGGUCUCCAAUGUAGUACUUCGGUUUGUUCAGGUGAGCAUUUUUCUUGUGCGGAUGAUACCAUUGAGAGGAGUUAUAGCUGAGAAAGGGAGAAACCAUGAUCCAAUUGUAGCUGUGUGAGGACAAUGUUGCUUACUUAGAAAAUUUGAUCUAUGAUAUGUAUGUUGGCACUGCUAUAUAUGUUUAUGCACAGAUCCUUGGCUACUCAGAAUUGUUUGCCUGCAUUCUGAUAUUUGAACAUCAGAUAGUUGGACAGUUAAGAUGAGGUUUUCUUAUAUCAACAAUUUGUUUGGAAGUUUUGGUAUAGUAGUGGGACUCGCAAAUUCAAUUUGUUGGUUUUGACUUGUGAAGGUGACAAUUUACAACAUACUGAUUUUGCAAACAUCACACAAGAAUAAUCAUUGUUGAUAAUAGUAUAACACACAUCCAAACUUUGUUAUUGUGACAUUAUUUCAACACGCAUGAUCCGAGUCAACCAAAGAAACAUGAAAGGAAAGACCAGGUUUUAAUGAUUCUUUCUCAUGUACUUGCAAUCUUCUAGUACUGAUGUACACGUAUCAAAAUAGUACGUAUAUGUUUAAGUCAAAUAUACACGUAUCAAAAUAGUACGUAUAUGCUUUAAGUCAACAGCAACACACGAGGUAUUUCCUUGCCUUCAACUAAUCCUUUGCAAGGAGCUACAAGCUUACAAAAUUUACUAGUAGGUGUGUGAAAUAUUCUUUAAAUACUACGCCAUCAUCCUCCCAAAAAAGCAGCAAUAACUGCUAGUAUAACUUUAACUAAUCAAAGAAUCCAUAGAUUUGGCGGACUCUCCCAAUAUACACAGUCAAAUUUACUUGCACGACCCAACGAAUGCAAAAUCCCUUGUCCAGGUGGUGAUUUUCCCAGCUCCUAUCGUCAUUAUCUCUUCUGGAAGUUGAACUUCAUGAUGGCAAAGCCAAAUAGGGCCGCAAAGAGCACAGCGAAUGCUACCACCACGGCUGCCACCCACCCCAACCAGCUGUGCUUGAAGCCGAAGUAGUCCUCAACGUACUGUGACACCACCACAGUCCUGUUGUUGUCGUCCAUCUCUGUCAUGAUGUCACCGAACUGUGACACCACCAGCCCGUACAGCGUCCAUGCCACGGGGCAUAUCCAACAGUACCACCUCCACCAGAUCGGUGUUUUCUGAAGGUAGCGGGAGGCAAGAACAGGAAUGAGCUUUGCUGCUUUGGAAAUGGUAGACAAAAGUUGCAGGGGGCAUGAUGAGGUCUUACCGGUCGGGGGAUGAUGAACCCAGAGAAGAGGUUCCAGAUGGCAUAGAAUGCCGAGGAGACGAUCGAGGCGAUGUGAUAGUUAGGUGUUAGCCCAACAGCCAUCAUGCCAUAGAAUGUGAAGUAGAGCAGCGUGAAGUACCCAAAGAAGAGGUACCAAAAGAACUUGGCAGCCGUCCACUCAAACCCGAUCAUGGCGUACACUAUGACACCAUAUAGAAUAUCCUGAACCAGUGCGUAUGGGAGCUCAAUGACAACCUGCGUGGAGACAAAUUGAUCAGACCAGUGCCCUGCUCUCUAGAACAUGGGCCAACAGGCAACAAGCAGCAGAAAAAGCAGCGUAUGAAAUUGAUCUCCAGGAGGAACAUUCACCUGGCCAAAUGCAUAUGGGAAAGCUGAGUACAUGCCAGCAGCUCUUUCACGGUAAAAGACUGUCCGCUCCACAGCCACCACUGGCUGAACUGAGGUACAAUUCAUGACCCCGAUGAAAAUCACUGCAGCGUACAUUGAUCCCAAGGCAUUCAUCAAAUCUUGUGAUGUAGACCUGGAUUAUGAAGCAAAACGUGAAUAAAAAACUGAAGGUCAAGCCACUUGUUUGCCAUAAGCAAUGGUACAACUGGGAAUGACUUACACUUUGCCACCUAGGUCCCAAAAGAUGGUGCCAAGGAGGAGAGCAAUGAUGGUAGUGAAAAAGAACCUAACAGUAUUGUAAGGAGGAUUCCUCCAGUAUGACAGGUUCUGUUUCCACAGGCAAGCCACACAUUGUGUGAUGGAAGACUGUGCGUACGUGCUAGCGAAAUGCAGGUCACUUGAACCUGGCACCGGAUGGCUUAAUUCCUUUAUCAACGCCUUGUUCCUCCUGUAAAAUAUAACAAGCAACACAUCAUCUACUGCAGAAAUUCCAUGGAGAAGGAGGGUUGGUUAAUACUGAAAAGUGCAAAGUGCAUUGGUAUGUACCAACCGGUAGUACCCCGUUUAUGGUUAUUCUCAAAGAUGAAGUAAGUGACUAGUAGGGAUUGUAAUUUACUUACUGGUAGAGUUCAGAUUUCUUGUAUAUGUCACUGAAAUCAACACCUAGAAUCUGUUCCUGAGAAGUUGUGGUCACUUCCAGCAUCCAUGUUGCUGGAUUGUAGCCAUCUUUAAUUUUGCUGACCCCUUGGAUCCCCUGGAUAAUAUGAAACCACAUGAUAUUCUCAGUAAUUUUGAAGAAAAUUCGUGUAUGGAUAGUCAGAUUUCUCUAAUAUCAUUUACCUCAAAAUACUUGAUAAGAUCUGAAGAAUGAUGUCCAAGUGGACCAGCAUAGAUCUCUUCUCCACCACGCUUCAUAAGGAAAAGCUGCAUGCAUUGAUCAAACAUUUUAGACUUUGCAAGUUGCAACAUAGUUCAAGGUUUGGAAAAACCAACCACAUCAAAACAAGUAUGACCAAACGCUGACCAGAAAGUAGAGGGUAGAUGGAAGUAAAUCCUAUGUGAAAUCUCACUCACCUCGUCAAAUGCUUCAAAUAUGUCAAUGCUAGGCUGAUGUAUUGUGCAGACCACAGUUCUACCAGUAUCAACGGUGUUCCUCACCGUCCGCAUCACAAUUGCAGCUGCUCGGGCAUCAAGCCCUGAGGUUGGCUCAUCCAUAAAGAUGAUCGAUGGAUUUGCAACAAGUUCCACAGCAAUGGUAAGCCUUUUCCUCUGCUCAGUUGACAGACCAUUCACUCCAGGAAGUCCAACCAAAGCAUUUCUCAGUGGUUUGAGCUCCACAAGCUCCAUCACCUCCUCAAUGAAGAUCUGCACAUAUAAUGGUGAGCAACUAUCUACCAAGUGUAUCUUUCCACGGGUGGAAAUUGCAACUAUUUUGUGGAACUAACCUUUCUUGUGUUUGAAUCGACAUCCUUGGGAAGCCGGAGCCAUGCUGAGAAAAGCAAGGACUCAUAGACCGUCACCUGUGGCGAGUGGAUAUCAUUCUGUUCACAGUAUCCUGAUACACGUGCAAAGGUCUCUUGUUUCUUUGGGUAUCCUGAAAUGCAGAUGUCUCCUUCAAUGUACCCGCCUGUCUUUCUCCCAGCUAACACAUCCAUCAAAGUAGUUUUUCCUGCACCACUGACGCCCAUCAGUGCUGUCAGCACACCAGGCCUAAAAGACCCACUGACACCUUUGAGGAGCUCCAAACGAUCUUCUUGUACACCUUGUGCUUUCAUUUCCUGAAUUUAAUUUCAUGACCAAGGUUACAGAAUAGUGAUGAAAUUGUAUUUGUUGUGUAAGAGAUCAACUUUCUAUAUUUCACCUGUGGCAUGUCAACAGAGUAUUUGAUGUUGUCAAAGGUGAGCGAGAGCGGGUCAAAUGGGAGGAUCAUUCCCUUUUUAGUCGAGGCAGAAUCAUCUUCCAUGAUUGCUGAAUCAGUUUCAGUGUUGAGUCCUGUUGAUUGAUGACUGCUUGCUGAUACCAAGUGAUUGCCCCCUUUGAUGUUGGCAUGCUUCUCCUGCAGCUCCUCUUCGGAUACAGAUGGCCGGGAGUUGCCAUAUGCUGAAAUUAACAAGAUGGAAUCAUUCGCACUUCACAGGUUUGAAUACUUUGAAAUUAGAGGACAAUGAGAAAAUCAAUUUGAGAGCUACUCACGCUUAAGGUAUGUAAGGGCAAGAGUAAAGAGAGCGUUGAAGAGUAGGGUGAACCCAACCAAAGCACCAAAGCCAAUCCAGUACCACUUUGGUUCUGUGAAUACUCCACGGGACUUAAGGCUUUGCAAACCUAGGGUCUCGUUGGAGGCAGCGCUAUUCAAUAUUUUGUCCCAGCUGUGACCCAACAUCUCAUUCACUGAAAUGGCAUUUUGUGCAUACAUCAUUGGGGAGAUCCAGUAGCCCCAGAUCCACCAUUUCUUAAUUUUAUCUGGAAGACGAAAUACAGACAAGCAUUGAUGUAAGAAGCUAUGUUGCAAUGAAAUAGAAAGAGAGAGAAAAUUGACUCCUAACCUCUUACUAGAAUGAAUCCUCCCAUCACCAUGACAACCAGCAACAUGAAUGAUGCGAAGACAUUAGCAACAAUCAUGUUCCUCGAUGCCCCACCAAUAAACCGGAAGAGUGCUGCUGCCAUCUGAUUGACUGCUAACAGAAGCAGAUACUGCUUGAAGAACCUGGGGGAGACUAUUACUGUCAGAACAUUCAUAGUACAUUACCAGCAUAAUAAGAAUGGCUAUGGAUAAACAUUUAAACAAUCAGAAAAUCUCACCUGCCAACAUUUGGGUCGAACCCAAUGACAUAGUACGUCAAGAAUACAUAACCACCAACCUCGAUAAAUGAGAUGGGUAUCUUGAGGAUCCAUGAGGGUAUAGUGUAGGACCAUGCUGGAAAGAAAAGGAGAUCCCUCUGCUUGAAGAAUACAGGCAGCUUGAAGACAGUUAACGCCAGCUCAGAGAAGCCAUUGAACAUGAUCAUAAGCACACCAAAGAAGACUGCACCCAGGUAGAUACCACCGUCAGUCACUGAGUCAUGCUUCAUCUUCGUACGGAAGAAGAGAGUCAUUACAAUGAUUGACAUCAGCACCAGCUGUAAUUCCAGAGCACCAAAGAGUUAGUCAUGUUUCAGUUAUUAUUUCCUUACAAGCAAAUCGAUCAUACUGGUUGGACUUGUGAGUUACCUGGAAGGUUCUGAAUAUGUAGACAAAAGAGUUCCUCUUCAUGAGAAGGAUCUCCCGGUCUAUGUUUGCUUUGAGCAGCUCCUUGCCACUCACGCCGUACCUCGUGGUGGUUAGUGCGGCUGGGUGGCCUUUGCUCUUGUCGAACGGAACAGCAAGCUCAUUUGCUAUAGCUCUCCCCGUGUGGAAUGACUUAAAUGCAGUCGCGAAUUCCUUCACAGACACAAACCUGUAAGGCGCAUCAAGCCUCGCCCAGUACUGUUUCUGAUCUUUUUUCGAAGUCACCUGCCCAACAUUUCAAAGAGAUAAGAUAACAAGAACUUUAUGCAUUUAUGUAUACUGCAAUACGGUGGCACAGUACAUACUUCUUGCAGGAAGUCAGCGACACCCUUCCUCUCAGGGCAUCUGAAACCUACUGACUCAAAAAACUCAAGCACUUCUUCUCGGGGGCCCUGGUAGACAACCUGACCAUCUGAGAGGAGUAUGAUGUCAUCGAACAAGUUAUAAGUCUCAGGUGCCGGCUGCAGUAGGGAGAUAACAGCUGUGCCACCGAGGAUGUGAAUGGACUGCCUGAGUGAAUUCACAAUUUGGAAUGUAGUAGAGCUAUCAAGCCCAGUUGAGAUCUCGUCCAUGAAAAGUGCCCUCGAUGGUCCAACCAGCAUCUCACCUGCAGGAACACAUCCAAAUGAUAUAAUAAUUCAGAAAGAACUUCAGCAAAGCCAAUGUUGUUAACCUAAUAUGGUUAUGAAAGACAGUUUUACCAGUUGUAACACGCUUCCGUUGUCCACCAGAUAUGCCCCUGAGCAUCUCAUCCCCUACCAUUGUGUCUGCACAUAUCUCUAGUCCUAAUAUCUGCAGCAAGUGGAGUGUACAUAGUUAAGACAAAUUUCAGUAAGUCGAUCUAAAAUUUCUCGACUUGAGGCUAAAAGUUGCAAUGUUUUACCUUCAGAAUAUAGUCAGUGACCACAUUGGCAUCUUGCCCACCCAUUGCAGACGCCUAAUUAAGUUAAGCAGGAAAACCAUACUCAGUUUUGAUUAUGAUUGGCCAAUUAUUCAAGGAAACAUAAUCUAUGAUUAAAAAAAUCUACUGGAUUUAGUCAGGAUUGCAUGCCUUCAUGAAUGCAUCAAUAUCAGCAUCAGGUUUGAUAUUGGCCGCCUUCUCUCGCCUCGACAGCUCAGUCAACAUGUCUAACAACAUAAAGGAAAGAAGCAAGAUCCAAUAAGCAUAUCAAUGAAUAGUGUAAACUCUACAUGGUAAGCUAGCAGAACAAAUGCAUAUGCAUGUAUAGCGUGACUAAAAUUGCUCAGAACUGUACCAAAACGGGAGCCGACACCCUGGCAGCGUGCAGAGAAUGCAAGUGUCUCCCUCACAGUCAUCUCUCCUAUGUGCAGGUCAUGCUGGCUGAUGUACGCUGCCGUCCUCUCUGGAACAAACUCUGUCAUCUCAUGACCAUUAUAGGUCACUUUGCCUGAAAACUGCACACCAUAACAUUAGGCACAUUUCAUUAGAGUAGUUCGUACAAAGCAUGCAGCAAUUGCCUAUGAAAGAUGCCCUGUUUUUUGAAUGCCCAGUUUUGUGCACCAGUUCGCAGCAAACUAAAAUAGAUGUCGACGAAAUGCAAUGAACGAGACAAUGCAUACUGGUUUUUGCGAGGUGUAAUUAGUGCAAAGAAGUACAAGGAUGCAUUUUGUACUACCUUGAGGUCUUUGUCAAGCCUUCCGGCCAAGGCCAGCAACAAAGUGGUCUUGCCUGAUCCAGGCGGACCUAACAGAAGUGUCAACCUGCAUAACGUAAAGAACGUGAGGUUGACUGGUCGAAGAAGCCAGGAAAUCGAAUCCUAACUCUCUCUCUCUCUCUCUUAAGAUUACUAAUCGAUUCAUCAACACAAGCCAAACCAACAGAAACAUAUAAUUAAGUUUUCAAAAAAAAACAACUCAUCGACUCUGUAGAUGGAAAACAGUUUGACUUUCUUGAGGACAAAAGGAAAACAAGAAAAGAGCGAUUGUUUUACUUAACUACCUGCGAGGCUUGAUGAUUCCGCUGACGUCGUGGAGGAUGGGCAUGAUCCGCUUACUACUGGGCAGUAUGUGCAGCGCGUUCGCCGCUUCCUGCGUCGAACAAAGAGGCGCACCGACCAAAGUUCAAAAUCGAUCGUCUUUCGCUAUCGGAAGUGUAACGGGUGGAAUGGCGCGCGUACCUCGACUGUGUUGACGAUGGAGUUGAGGACGGUGGGGAGGCCGCUGCUGCCGACGCGCACCUCAGCCUCCGCCUCAAGGUUCUGGAACCGGACCUCGAUCGUGGGCAUGUCGAUCCCGACCCUGCAGCAAUCAAACACGCGCGCGCGCGCGGCGGAAAUCGUCAGACACCCGGCGACGGCGAGCGAGCCUUGAUCCUUGAGCGGGCGACAAGGUACCUGUCGACGCGGUCCUUGAGCUUGAGCAGGAAUCGCUCGUUGUCCUCGUCGGCGACGCGGACGAGGCGCUCCAGCAGCGCCCGCCUCUCGCGCGGGCCGAGGCUGAGGACGUCGACGUCCACGAGCCCCUUCCCGCCAGCCGCCUCGGCGCCGUCGGCCCCGAGGUCGAGCGGGACGAUGGCGCGGCGGACGCGGUCGUAGGUGGGCAGCUUCUCCAGCGCGGCCCAGCGGAGCGCCUCCUCGUCGUCCUCCUCCCUGGACGAGCGCGAGAACACGUCGUCACCGCGCCGCCACAUGGAGCCGCUGCCCCCACGCAUACUCGCCACCUUCUGCAGCUCCCCCGUCAC